rnacentral:lncRNA from 1 species
UUAAGAGUUUGAUUCAUAUUGUUCAAUUUGGAGUAUUGAUUUUGGCUAGCUGAUCUAUAACCAUUUCAUCUGGUUUGCUGGUAGAUUCAUAGCAGAUUGUCAAUAAGGUUCGUUUUGAGCUCACUGUCUAAUAUGUUACAUAUGUAUGUUUUGAAUUUCACUAGCUAGUUUUUAUUCUUCCAAGGGUGUGUUUCUCUACAUCCCGUUAGUAGAGCUCAUUCUUUUUCAACCUUAUGAAACUUUGGUGUAUUUUUUUUCCCUUCUUUUCAUCUAGCAGUGACACAGGAUUGAAUCCCUCUCAAAUCCUUCAAAACAAAUGACCUCUUUUUAAUAAUAAAAAAAUCGGUUCAAUUAAAGGACUUAUUACAUCAUUUUUAAAACACCAAAUAUAAAAAAUAUAGCACUGCACCGCUUAACUUACAGGUCUUAAUCUAGUAUAUUUUGAAGUGUGAAAAAACUCACAAACGUAACUGUAUUAUGACAUAUAUACAUACAUACACAUAUGCUGUUAACUUACUCUCAUUAAAAAACAUACAUGAAGGAGUAAGUUAGCAAGUCUACUCCCACUUAGUUUUUACCAAAAAACCUUUCAUACUCCCACUCAAAAACAUGAAGGGAUAAGUUAGCAAGUCUAGCUACUCUCACUUUGAGAGUAAGUUAGUAAGCCUACUCUCACGUAGUUUUAAAGGGAUAAAAUUGAUUGUUUUGCUAAAAAGAAAUGAUAGUUGGUUUGUUAACGUGCUCAAUUUUUCACCAAUAGAUCGAAUAUAGUAACCUCACAAAAAUGUUUGCUACUAUAUAUUUGGAAUGAUGAAAGUGAGUGUAAAUUAGUGAGGUGGAUGUAAAUAAUUUGACAAAAUUUAUAAAAAAGUGUGUAUAUAAUCAAAUGGGUGUAGGUUGUUAACUUACACCUUAGUGCUUUUAGGUGGAUGUACUUGCUUGUUUACACCUUAGUGUUGUUAGGUGGGUGUAAAUUAAAUUAACAACCCCAUAUAAUAUAUAUAUAUAAUCAUAGACUAUAAUUAACAAACAUAUUUUAAACUUAACUAUUAAAGCUAUUAUGAUAAGAGGUAUGGUAGAAGACUUUCCAUUUUUGAUUGUUAAAAAAAAAGGUAUGAUAGAAGAGAAAAUGUAAAGCCUGAAUUGAAGGUCAUGGAGAUAUAUCUAAAACAAAAAGAAAAGAAGAUAAUCUAAAUAAUAUGUAUUAAUGAUGUGUUAUUUAAUUAUCAUCAUUUUACAAUAUACAAAGAUAUAAUUACAAGGUUCUUGAAAUUAAAAAAAAAAAAAGUUUAUUAGGUGGAAAAGAAAUAACUCAAUGAAAGCUCAUGAAAAAUUCUAGCAGAGCACCAAAUGAAGAAUCAUACAAGCACAUAAUAUUUUUCAUCUUUCCCAUUGGCCGAACCUUAUUGGAAAGCAUUUACACAAUCCACCCACACACUUUGGUAUCUGAUCAACCUUCUUGCACAGAUCACUUGGACAAUCAUCAUCAGUAACACAUGGCCAAUACUCUUUCAUAAAGAAAGAGAAUGAAAUUUGUUUGCGUUCAAAGUUUGUUGCAACCGUAAAUUGAAAAAGACAAAUAAUCAUCAUACUACAAACAUAAUUGACAAUUGUAGACAUGUUUCCCUCCUUUUUUAUUUUUGUAAUAAAUGUAACUUUAUAUUUUUUUUUUAAGUGUAACUUUAAAAUUUCUAAUGCUCAUUCUCCGCUUAAAUGUAUAUUUUUUCUUAUGGAGUUGUGAAAUAUUAUUCUUAAUAUUAUAAUUAUUACAAAAUGGCCCGUAAGUACAUCAAUGUGUCAUGUUUGUCCAUUUAACAUAACAAAAAGAUAGGUCACAAAAAAUAAAUUAUUCUUAAUAUUUUAAUUAUUACAAAAUAUCUUUUAAGUACAUAUGAUUUGUUUGAGAAUAUAUUUUAUGAGUGACGUAGACAGCAGAGAUUUAACACAUAUAUGAACGAUCUGAAUGCAACCAUUGACCUAUUGAUCAAUGUGGGUUAAGGAAGAUAUUGAGUGUCAGGUGAACAUAAGAGUUCAGUUUGGGAAAGUGUUUUUGUAAGCCCUAUAUUUUUUUUUAUCCAAGACAUUAUGUCUAUUUGUUUCUUAUUAGAAAAACACUAUUGUUUUUAUUUUAUUUUUAUUUAACAAUAGUCAUCAACACUAAAUUCCUAACAAAGAUUCAAAAAGAAUUUCUUAAAACAAUCAAAUUUGACACCUUCGCCCUCGAGUCACAUUAAAAACAAAUUAAUAAACUUCAAAAUCUAUUUUAAUUACAACACAGCAAAACCUAAAUAUCUUCCCCGCGUAUGUGCUUCAAGUAAAAACAUCAAGACAUACAUCAUAUGUUCUUUGGUACCUAAAAUGUUGGUUGUAAGGGUUAGUCUUCAAUAUCCAUAAAAUAAAAUCAAUAAUAAAUUACAACAUCAAAUAAGAAUAUACAACCAUCAUCAUGAAAUUUUGCCCUGUUUGACAUAUAAUAAUGAAUCGCCACAUUUGACACUUAAAAAUCCAUUGAAUUGCCCCAUUUGACACUUAAAAAUCCAUUGAAUCGCCUCAUUUGGCACCUAGAACACAACUGAGGUCUUAGGGUGUAGAGUUUUAGUUCCUGGUUGUUUACGAGUGUUUUUGGUAAACAAAAGUGCCAGUUUUAAAAGACUACGUUCUUGAUCAAACUACAAAUCCUAUGACAUGUUGUGCAAUGUUCUUUUCUUCCAGAAAGUGUUUGAAUGUUCAUCAUAAUUCUUAAGUUUGAAUAUGAACAAGAAGAAGAUUAAGGUGUUAUUCGACAUGAUCAAAUAAGGUUUUAUUGAUUUGAAAAUAAAUUUGACUUUGAAAAUGAAAACAAAGAAGUUUAAAAGAAAUUAAAUUGCAUUGUAUUAACAAAGAUGGUUCAUCAAAUCAAACAUACAUUGUCUAGUUACUCUUUUCUCUCUAUAAGUUGGAUAGUUUGAGCAUGAAGAAUUCUCUAUAAUAUUUGUGACCCUUCAUUCCUAUUAAAAAUUACUAUAUAACGGUCUUAAACUAUAUGUCUUCGACAGACUUGGACUGUUUUCCACGUGUCUUGGACCUUUGAUUUGGCCUCUUCAAAAAGGUUUUGAAUUCAUUCCAGACGAAUUUAAAAGACUUGGAACUCACAUAUUGAAUCUUGUCGAAUGCAAUUGAUCCUUAACUUGCAUAUGAAGAAUUUUUCAAAUACAACUUUUCCUGUCGAAAAUAAUCAAUUGAAAAUACAUGCUAACACCGGUCCAGCUUUCAAAACUAAGAUCAAAAUCCAUUGAACAUUGCAUUAGAGCCGAAUUAAGAAUUGCAAUGUUUAAAUUUGACUUAGAAUCUAUGUGUGAGGAUAUAUAUUUAAAGUUAUAUUGGAAUGUCAUUAUUACCCAGGUUCCAAGACUCUUAAAUGUACACAUGUGUUUGAAUAUCUAUAAUUUAAAUUAACUUUUACGAGUAAGAUUCAAGUUUAUUUAAUAGAUACAUAUAAUAAAUUUUUGUUCAAAGUGUUUUAAAAUUUUUGAAUCGAUGAAAUCCAAUAUUUUUAGUGAAAUAAUAUCCAUAGUAAUUUAAUUUCAGAGGUACUCUUGAUGUAAACUUAAUCCCUAGUCAUCUUUAAACUUUAAAAUAAUCAAUCUUAUUAGUUGAAAAUUUCUACAAAUAAUUGUAUUAUAUUCUUAGAACUUAGAAGAGUCCAAGUCAAUUUUAAAUAAUAAACGUUGGUUCUUAUGGCCGUUGAGUUCUUCAAAGAAAAAGCAAACAUAAUCGAUCAUUCUAAUUGCUUCUUUAACAAAAGUGAACACAUUAACACAGCUCACAAACGUAUACAAACAUCUAACGGCCAACCCAUUCAUAUGAUAUGUCGGCAUAAUUGUUUCUCAAGCUCCAACUGUCCAUGUUAUCUGUGGGCCCCACGCGUUUCUCCAAAAAAUUCACCUCUAUAAAUUCUCAUAUCACCCAUUCAACAUACAUAACUUGCAUAACUUUACCUUAGAAUCAAUUUCACAAAUUUUCAUUCUUUUCAUUUUCAAUUUAUAACUUCCUCUAUUCCAUAAUUUUGCAAUGGCAUCAUCAGCUACAACAAUGAAAUUCUUCUCCUUCUUUUUCGUCGCCAUGUUGGCUGCCUCUAUCGCCUCGGCUCAAGACCUCAGCCCCUCGUUGUCUCCGGCACCAGGUCCUGAUGCCGGAGCAGCUGGAUAUGUUACAAAUUCAGUGACUAUGGUUGGAGUUUCAAUUGUAUUGUCAAUGCUCGCCAUCUUCAAACACUAAAAAAUUAUGAUUCCACUUAUUUUCUUGUGGAUUUCAUGGAAGUAGACAAGCAGUAUCGACUUGUUCUGCUUAAACUGCUGUCUUGUGGAUAGUGAUGAUUACUAGGAGUUUAUCUAUGUAUUUUUGAAAGCGUGAGAUAUUUUACAUUAUUUGUUUUUACAUUUCAUUAUUUAUUGUAGGUGUUAAAGAAAAAUAAAAAGGACUUUAGGAUCCUUGAGUUAAUAUUUUUGUGUGUAAUAUAUAAAGGAUGAAAUUUUUGCAUUUUUCUAGUUAAUAAUUUUAAAAUCUUUUUAUUUUAUUUGUUCUUUUAUCUUUCAUGAUCAUUUAUGUUUCGACACGAUUCACACGAAUAUGAAAAAUAUUAAACAAGUUGUUUAUUCAAGAAAUACUUAAUGUAUAUUUUUGUCUUUUGUCUUUUGUCUUUUAUGUUCAAUUGUAUUUUAAUUUUUUAAAAGAACCCAAAUUUAUAAUAGAAAUAAAACAUUAAGCCCUUCAAGAAAAAAUAUUAAAAUUAAAGAUUCCAAAGAAAAUAAUGGAGAGAUGAAAUUCAUAUAACGAAUCAUACAUUUGAAGUAUUGAUCUCCAAUUUUAAUGUGUCUAAUAGGAGUCAAAAUAGGUCGGUAUACGGAACCUACGGUCAAACUUACGUCAAGUUAGUUAAGCUUUUUUUUUUUUGUUAAACAAGACACGUUAGGGUUAUGACUAAAAUGUAAUCCUAUGACAAAUUACAUACUUUGGCUUUAAUUUAACUUGACCUAACCUAUUCCUAUACUUAUUGUUCAACAACUUAGCAAUAAAAUUGAAGAUCAAUUUCAUGUUUCUUUAAUUCUGCUCUAAUUUUCCCAUGUAAGUUAAAAAAAAAAUUCUCCAAGUUAAACCUAUUUAAUCUUUCACUUUUAAAUUUUAAUUAUCAUAGAGUCAUCUCCAUUUUUAUUUUAUUUAAUAAAUAAACUAUGUUAAAAAGUCCUAUAUCAGAUAAGAAAUGACAUGAACUAGUGUUUAUAAGUUAGGAUAAUUCUUCUCACUUUACAAGUCUGUUUUGUGAAGUUAUGUUAAAUUCAAUCACAAAUUCUAAAAAACACGGACUUAUUUUGACUAGUAAAGCAUUGCAAUAUUUCAUGUAUAUAAUUAUAGGUUAGGAUUUAGCCCCUCCAUUUUUUUCUAGUGUCAAUUUUUUUAGAAGUUUUUUGUGAGAAAUAUGAGAUAAUAAUAGCUGAAGUUGUAAUAGAAAAAAGGUAAAUCAUUUCAUAAAAAAUAAUAAAUUUUUGUUCUAAAAAAAUCAUUUCAAAAUUAUAUCCAUUAUGGACAAAAAAUAAAACAAAAAAAAUUGUGAGGAUGAAAACAUUUCAUUUUAUUUGUUAGGGACGAAAACCAAAGUUUGAUAUAUUUAUAGAGACGAAAAGUUUAUUUAACCCUUUGUUAAUCUUCUUGAUAUGUGUAAAUUAUAAGUUGAAUACAUCAAUUAAAAUGAAACCGAGUAAUAAAUAACUAGCUCGCACGGAACUCCAAAACUUAUAAAAUUAGGGACAUGUUUAACUUAAGGAAAAUGUUAACUAGUUCCUCUGUGACACUGAUUUAGAAAGCAAAUAUGGUAAAAUAAAAAUAUAAUUCACACACAUAAUCACCACAUUGGUCACUGUUGGAGGGUAGAUUUUAGAAGAAGAAGAAAAAAAUUAAAUACUCAAAUUUGAUUUAAAAUUUUCAUUGUUCGAUCUUAAUCUAAUGGUCACUAAAGUGAGGACUAAAUGAAUGCGAAAUUUUAUUGACAACACGGAAUCAUAACUCGUUUAACCUGCACCAAAUCGACCUUUUUCACUUUAAAGUUUAAACUUAAGACUUGCAUUUUUGUACGCUUAUUUUUGUUUUGUAUUUUUGAGAGCUAAUUUUUUAAUCCGAUAUAUCAAUUUUUCAAUUACUCUUUUUAUUUAUAUUUUAUUCGAAUGAAGUAUUUUUCUUUAACUAAUCACACCCUAAAGUAUCUAUGAGAGCCACAAUAUAUAUUUUUUUUCUUUUGCAUCAAACCAAGAACAAAGAUCUAAAAAGACGAAAGGUGCAUGUUGUGCAAUCAAAAACCAAAAACAACUCACGUUAAGUUGUUGCCAAUUGCUAUUACCCACAUUUUUAUCAAAUACUUCUUCCGUCCCAUAAUAACUGAGACAAUUAUUAAAAAAAAUGUCCUAAAAUAACUGAGUCGUUUCACUUUUCAAUACAAUAUUAAUUACUUUUUUUUCCCUUUAUAAUUUCAAUUAAUAUUGUUUUCAUCACUUCCAAUUCAAUAUAUUUCACUUUGCAUUUAUAAUAGUGGAGAAUGCACCAAUACUUAACAAAAGCACUUAAAACUAUUUUUCUCUCUCUUUCAUUUAUACAUUUUUUUUAAUAUGUGUGAAAUGAGCUUUUGACUCGGUUAAUCUGAGACGGAAGGAGUAUUAUUUUCCUCCAUGUGCGAUUACUGUUUUUGAAGCACCUCCACAUGCAUGUCCGUUACUUUCGACUAGAGCCAUCCCAGUUAAAUUAAGUGUAUAUAAUUAAGAUAGUGGAUAUUUGUAUUAAAGUUGUUUACAAAAUUUGAUUUUUACUUCCAUAUUUUUGUUAUUUUAUCUUUAACUUUUGUCGUUUUAAAAAAUUCAUAUUGAAUUUAUUUCAUGUUAAAAAAUUCUAAAUUUUUGUAAAUGAACCUUUCACAGUGUUAUAAACUCGUGUAAAAAAAAAUCGCACAAAAAUUUAAGAGUUUAAGUAUAAUUAAACAAAUAUUGUUUUAGCAGAGACUAAAAUUAUAAGUAUUUUUUUUUUGUAAGGACUAAAAAAUGUAUUAAAAUUAAGUAAGGACUAAACUUAAAAAUUAUCCAUUUUAUAAGGACCAAAAACAUAUUUAAUCAUAUAUAUUAUACACUAAUAAAAGUUUCUCAUAUGAACUAGCAUACUUCACUAAUAAAAAUUUCAACAAAUCACAUGAAUAUGUUAAACUCAAUUUUAUUAUAUCUUUGGCUACGUUACAUUAAAUCUUAACUUUCGUAGGCUAAAAAAAAUAAAUAAAAACAGCCUUCAUAUUGAAGACAACACAUAGCUAGGGACGGAUUCUACGAGAAAGCUUCAAAAGGAAAUUACACGUAAAAUAACAAAAAAUUAUUCAAAGAGUAAGAAGAGUCCAAGUCAAUUUUUAAAACAUAAACAUGUGUCCUUAUGGUGGUUGAAUUCAUCAAAGAAAAAGCAAUUAACAAAACAUAUCACAACCAAUCAUUCUAAUUGGUUGUUCAACAAAAUGAACAGCACACAAUCUUACAUAAACAUCUAACAAUCGACUUAUUCAUGUUCUCUCCGUUUCAUAAUAUAACAAAAAUUCAUUUUUAGGUUCAUUUAUUUAAUAAUGUAUUUGGUCCGCAAAAUUCACUUUUUAGGGUUAUUCAUUUAAUUAUGGACCACAUACAUCAUUAAAUGAAUUAAUCUAAAAAGUGAAUUUUGCUUAUAUUUUGAAACGAGGGAGUAUGAUACAACGUUUGCAUAAUUGUCUCUGAAGCUCCGGCUGUCCACGUUAUCUGUGGGCCCCACGUGUUUCUCCAAUCUUAUAAAUACUCCCAUCACUUAUUCAACAUACAUAACUUGCACAACUACUCCUUUGCUUCACAAUUUUCAUUUUCAACUUCCUCUACUUCACAAUUUACCAAUGGCAUCAUCAGCUACUACAAUGAAGUUCUUCUCUUUCUUUUUUGUUGUCUUUGUGGCUGUUGUGGCCUCGGCUCAAGACCUUAGUCCCUCAUCCGCUCCGGCACCAGGUCCUGAUGUUGGGGCUUGUGGAUCUGUUACGAGUUCAGUUGCUAUGAUCGGAGCUUCAAUUGUGUUGUCAAUGCUUGCCAUCUUGAAGAACUGAAAACAUCAUGAACCCACUAAUUUUCUGGUGGAUUUCGUGGAAACAAAGAAAAUGAACACAACUCAAAGAUAGUCGUUAUUGUUGAUUAUUAUGAGUUGAUCUACCUACACAUUUUCUUGUGUACUAUACUUGAGAGCGAGAUAAUAUUUAUUAUCCUAUUUCAUUAUUCAUUGUAGGUGUUAUGUAAAAAUAAAAAGGAUUUUAUCAUCCUUUGUCUAAAAAUAAUUAUUAGCAUCUUAGUGUUAUAGCUUAUUCGUUUUUGUGUGUAAUAUAUUAACAAUGAUUUUUGUAAUUUAUUAUUUUUCCAAAUCUUAUUCCUCGCUUUUGGUAUUUUUUGCUCAAAAAAAAAAAUAACAAAGAAGUGACCAAGUCGAGAGUCUCAGCAAGGUCAUGAAAUGCCCUACAUCUCAUUGAGUACUAAUAUAAUUAUUUACAGAUCAUCUAAUAAAAAGUUUCUUACAUUGACAACGAAAGCUAAAUACACAUAUUUGCAGAAUAUUAAUCAAUUACAACCUAAUCCAACUCCAUUGACAACUUACUCGUAUGUUUUCGAUAAAUAAGUUUUCUUUUUAAUUUUUUACAUUGAAAAAUUAAGAAUGGAGACGAGCAAAAUAUGUGUCUAAAACGAGCAAAAUUUGUCUCUAAACAUAUCUGGGACAAAAUCACAUACCGAACUGGGUCUGUGGUUACUUCCAUCGUCGCUAAGCCUUGAGAGACAUAAUUUAAAUUUCCACCUCCAAUCAUAAACAAAAUAAAUUUUUCUCCAAAUACUAAUAUCUGUCGUUCAUGGUUAAAAAAUAGAUGGACUAAAUCUGACGUUGUUGGAGAUAGAAACCACAAUCUCUAACAAACAUAAUUCCGUCUCUAAACUUUGUUGUGAAGUUUAUAAAUUUCGUCUCAAAUUAUUAAUAUUAUGGGUGUGUUUGUUUCUAUGGAAAGAUAGUGAGGGGGAGAGAAAGACAAGGGAAAGAAACAUUUUCCAUGGUUUGGAACAAGUGAAACCAACUAAUGAAAGAAUGAGAUACCAUGGCUUCCACACCAAAAACCUUUUCAUGGCAAUAUGUGCAGAAAGGUUGGGGAAACAACUAACUUUUGUUUAAAAAGUCCAAAGCACCCCUAGUUUUAUUGUUUUUUUUUUUUUUUUUUUAUUUCUAAACGGGUGUGCAUAUAUAUAAGGGUAUAUAUCUCCAUUAGAAAAAAAAAUAGAUCUUUCUUUCCUCCAAUUUUCUAAUCCACUUUCUAUUAAACCAAACAACCAAAACAAUCCCUUCAUUUUCCAUUUCCUUUCUAUCCUCAUACAAUCUUUCCUUUUACUAUCUUUCCUCUUACUUUCUCUUCUCAUCCAAACAUAGCCUAUGUCUCUACAUAGAAGGAUUGAAGUUUCGUCUCUAAAAAUAUUAUUGUUUUUCAAAUCUACCUCAAUAUUCCAAAUAUUUGCUAAAACGAUGUUUAAAAUUUUUAUUAUGUUUAUCUAGCUCUCGAUAAUGUCAUACUUAUAUUUUGAUAAACAUCAAAUUUGCAAAAAUGACAUAACAUACGCUCAUACAACUACACCACAUGAUAUCAAUACAUAAAGUUGUCAAAUAUAUGUAAAAACAAGGGUGGCUUAAGCACGGGCCAAGGGGGUGGCAGCCUAGGGCACCAUAAAUUUAGAGGCACCAAAAAAUUAUUUUUAAUAUAUAUGUGUGUGUGUGUGUAUUCCCAUUAAAAAAAAUAUAAAAUGCUAGUUGCUGACAAAAUCACAAGGCACUACAAAGUCUAAACUAAUAAAUGACGUGAAUAAAUAAAAUGUAAAAUAAAACCAGUCAACUACAUGUACCAAAAAAUAUUAAUUACAUCCAUAAUUUUAAGAGCUAAACCGAUGAGUCAUGAGUGAAAAGCAAGUGAAUAAUCUAAUUGAGGCACUACAAUUAAAAUAAUGAUAUAGAGUGUUAUGAGUAAUAAAGAGUAGGGUUUUUUUGCUAAAGUAUAUUAAAAGUCGAAUUAUUUUACCUAGUAUAUGAGCCUCUUUUCUUUCUAAUUCUAAUUCUUAUUCUCUAUGACUAAUAUCUCCAUCUCAAUUUGAAAACAAAAAAUAUCUCUCCAUCUUAAUUACGCAACUAUUAGCACAAGAACAAUCAAUUGUCAAAAGCAUAAGUGAUGUAUACGAUUGAUCGCAACUUCAUAAGAUAGGAGUAGGCGCCAAUUGCAAUUGCCAAACAAUUUAUUUAUUAUUUAAUAGUCAAACAAAUUUUAACUCUUGAGGAAUUAACAUUGAAUUAUGAAAUGUUGUGAUGAUAUAAACAUUGAAUUAUGAUCCAUGUCUGCUGUUUUGAUAAACUUGUCGAGUGAAGCCUAGACUCUGGAACAUGGAUUAUAGCUUAGAGCUAAUUGGUUUACAUUUCAAAGAUUCAUACUUGUGUUCUUCUUGCACAAUGUCAAAUGAAAUGUUUAAUAGUUUUCCCUUUCAUUUCUUUUAAUCGUAUCAUUUUUUGUGGAAUUUUUUUAUAAGGGCACCACUCUCUUGAUUCGUCCAAGGCAUCCAAAUUUAAAGAGUUAGCCCUGUGUAAAAAGAUCAUACUAUAUUUGAUAUACCAAAAAUUAGCUAAAUAAAAGUAAUCAUACUAAAGUUUAACAUCAAUCCAUCUCAUUGUCACCAAUAUAAAGCUAUCCAGAAUAUAAAAAGAUCAUGAUAUGUUGAUCUAACUAAAAAAAAACAUUAAUAAAAGGGACAAAGCUAGAGUUCAUCCAUCUCGGCGUUACCAAUAUCACCUUAUCCUUCUGGUUGAAUCGAAGAGUUCAUAUUAGGCAUUUCAAACGUUCCAUCUUCGGUAUUAUCAUUUCUUGUACAAAAAAAUUCAUAUCAAGUUCAGCAUCUUUUUCUAACGAAACUACAUCGAUAAAAAUUGGAGGUUACAACAAUAGCUUAUGAUCCUAGCCUCCAUAGCAGUAACCUUUUGGCUAAAUGUUUGUUUUUAUUUCUUUUUUUAUCAAAAAAAUGUUUUUUUCCUUUACAAAUGAUCUUUUUUUAAUUUCUAACUAACAAAUUGUUUCUUAACAAAAAUAUACAAUAAAUCUUUAGUCCUUAAAAUUGACUAUAUAAUAAGAGUUUAAUUUAUAUACUUUAUCAUUGGACAACACAUAUACCACUUAAACAUUUAUUCUUUGUCUCAUAAUAAUUGUCACCUUAUAAUAUAACACAACAUUUAUUAAUUUUUUCAUCAAUAUAUUCUUAUUUAUUGAAUUUCACUUCUUUUAAUUAAUAAACUAUCUUAAAUUAGUAAGAGAGUUUUGAUAAAUUACACACCAUCUGGUCACUAUUACAAGUAAAAAUCAACUUUUUAAAUACUAUAUAAAAAGUGGAUUUUUACAUAUAAUAAUGACUUUAGAGAUGUAUUAAUUUCACUAUUGAAACUAACAUAAUUGAUUUUUUUUUUUUUUAAAUCAUGUAGAACCUCAAAGAGGCAAUUAAAAGAGGGAAUACAAGAGUAACUUCAAAGAACAAUUCUACCACCAAUAAGAAUACGUCUAUUGUUCCACUUGGACAAACGAUUCCUUUAUACACCCUCCACUUGAAUUAUUAAUGUAUUCUUAGAACUUGGUACAACAGUCCAAGUCUUGGUCGAAAAAAGAGGUGUCCAAGUCAAUUUUAAAUCAGAAACGUUGGCAAUUAUAGCAUGGUGAAUCCUUCAAAGAAAAAACAAGCAUGAUGAUUUUACUUGGUUGUUUAACAAAACUAAACAGCACAUUCACACAGCGCCCAAUCGUAAACAAACAUCAAACGGCCGACUCAUUCAUAAUACAUUUUCAAGCUCCAGCUAUCCACGCUAUCUGUGGACCCCACACGCUUCUCUAAAUAAUAAUUCUUCCCUUAUAAAUACUUUCACACCCUCUCAAUUCUCAUAUCACCACUUCUCAACAUUCUCAACUUCUCUUUAUAUUUUCGAUCUUCAUUUUCAAUCUUCUAUUCCAUAGUUUUGCAAUGGCAUCAUCAGCUAUAAAGUUCUUCUCCUUCUUUUUGGUCAUCAUCUUCGCCGCCACAGUGGCCUCUGCCCAAGACCUUAGUCCCUCGUUGGCUCCGGCACCAGGUCCUGAUGCUGGAGCUGCUGGAUCUGUUACAAGUUCAGUGGCUAUGGUCGGAAUUUCGGUUGUAUUGUCAAUGCUCGCCAUCUUCAAGCACUAAAAACAUGAUGAUUCCACUCAUUUUCUUGUGGAUUCAUGGAAGUAGGCUGAUGUUCUGCUACAUAAUGUUGGUUUGCGGUAUAGUGAUGAUUGAUAUGAGUUAAUCUAUGUAUACUUGAGAGCGUGAGAGUGAGAGAUUUUUACCGUAUUUAUUUUUAUAUUUCAUUAUUUAUUGUAGGUGUUAAGGAAAAAUAAGGAAGACUUUACUAUCCUUGUCGAGUAAUUAUUAUUGUCAUGUUAGCGUUAUGCUUAUUCAUUUUUGUGUAUAAUAUAUAAACAAUGAUAUUAUUUUAUACUUGGUAUUUUUUUAUUUUAUAAAUAUUCUUAUUUUAUAUGUCUUUUAUCCUUGAUCAUUUAAGUUUGGACUUGAAUAUGAAAAUAAUUAAACAAGUCAUUUAUUUAAAAUGAUUAAUUAAUACGUUCAAAUUUUUGUAAUAUAAAGGGAAAUAUAUGUUUAAUUGUAUCUUAACGUUAUAAAAGAACCAAAAUAAUAUUAUUAUUUUUUUUGUUUUAAAGAAUGGAGUCGUGGAAUUCAAUUUAUAUAGGUGAAACGAAUUAUUGUGGGUUUGCCUAUGCCUAUUCGAAACUAGAGAAUUCGAGCAGCGAAAAUUCAAAUGAUAUAAGUGAAACAAAUUAUUGCGGAUUUGGCUAUGCCUAUUCAAAACCAAAGAACUAUUGUGGGUUUGACUAUGUCUAUUCAAAACCAAAAAUUCGUUAACCUAAAAAUUUAGCAGAAGUGGUUAAUGAGCUACACCAAAAAUGAAUAAUUCUAGAGAUUCUGAGUUGGUUCCUGAGCUCAAAGUUUUUUUUUGCACAAACCAAAUGAUAUAUAAUAAUAACAACAAUUAUCCACCCUGCACAAGGCGUGCAAAAGUGAAUCAUCUAUCAAAAUAUACAAAGUCCAGGUGCCAAAAAAGAGGGACACCAUCAUAAACAUCGAAAAAAAGUUACCGGUAAACACCCAUACAAAGUAACGGGUGUUUCACCAAUCAUAAUAACUGUAAACAAAGGAUGGUUGUUUGGUUUUCACCCACAAAAAAGAUGUCAUCUUGAUUUUUUCGAUGAGAACAUAAGGAUGUGAUGCCACAUUUUUAAAGAUAUGGUUAUUCCGAUCCUUCCAUAUAACCCAAGCACAAGCAUACCAAAUACCUUUUAAAAAAGAUUGAGUGCACCGUGGUAAUCCCGCCAUAUUGGAAAACUGAAGAUGAUGUUCACGUUACACGAUGAACAACUGAGUGGACAAAUUAACACGAAAAAAACAAACAAUCGUUUACGCUAAUAAUUUGUUGUAUACCAUACUUUUGAAAUUUGUUGAAUUUUAUCCACGAUAAAAUGCGACUUUAAAUCGGCCUCUUUGGAAAUAGGAAAUCAAAAUUCGCAUAACUUGUAUCAAAUCGCCCUUUUUUACCUUGUGGACAGGUCUUGCAUCUCUGCGAGCUUAAUAUUUUAUGGAGAAUAGGGAAUCAAAAUUCACAUAACUUGUAUCAAAUCGCCCUUUUUACCUUUAGAAAAAUGUGUAACCAUUACAUUUUUAUUCUCCAAGUUGCAAAAAAUGUAAAUUUUUAGGAUAAAGUUUUCUGUAUUUAAAAAGGAUAGAGAUUAAGAAAGAGAAAUAUGUAAGAGAGAAUGCGAGAAAAGAGAUAAAUGUAAAAUAUAAUAUAAUUUAAAAUAUGAUAUAAAAAACAAGGAAAAAUGUUUUAUAUUUUAGGUUUACUUGUUAAAAUAGCUUUUGUAAUAUAUGUGAAGUCUGAAAAUAAUCCUAGUAAAAAUAAAAACACAAAUUAUAUCCGUGUAAGAGAAAACAAUCAUGGUUAGAGAACAUAAUAAAUAGCAUGACGAUCUUGCUUAUUUAAAGCUAGAGGUAUAUAAGAUACCUAGCUCCCUACAUAUUUUGAUAAAAGAAUCUGAUUAAAGUAGUUUUAUAAAAAUAUCAACAAGUUGACACUAUUUAAAUAUCUUUAAAAAACAAAUCACUAACUUUUAAGUGAGAUUUCUUAGGGAAAGCAUAUGGCACAAGAAUGACUGCAAGAACAAUUCUACUACCAAUAAAAAUACGUUCUAUUAUUCCACUUGGACAAACAAUUUCUCAAUACAUUCACAACUUGUGAAUUAUUAAUGUAUUCUUAGAACUUACAAGAGUCCAAGUCUUGUUCGAAAAAAGAGGUAACCAAGUCAAUUUUAAAUCAGAAUCGUUGGCUAUUAUAGCCGUUGAUGUCUUCAAAUAAAAAACAAAGAUACGAUAUUUAACAAAAGUGAACAGCACAUUCACACAGCUCACAAACGUAUAGAAACAUCUAACGGCCGACUCAUUCAUAGUAAUAUAUUUUCAAGCUCCAGCAGCUGUCCAUGUUAUCUGUGGACCCCACACUCUUCUCUAAAUAAUAAUUCUUCCCUUAUAAAUACUCUCACACCCUCUCAAUUCUCAUAUCACCACUUCUCAACAUUCACAACUUCUCUUUAUAUUUUCAUUUUCUCAUUUUCAAUCUCAAAUUCAAAGUUUUAUAAUGGCAUCAUCAGCUAUGAAGUUCUUCUCCUUCUUUUUGGUCAUCAUCUUCGCCGCCACCGUGGCCUCUGCCCAAGAUCUUAGUCCUUCGUUGGCUCCAGCACCAGGUUCUGAUGCUGGAGUUGCUGGAUCUGUUACAAGUUCAGUGGCAAUGAUCGGAGUUUCAGUUGUAUUGUCAAUGAUCGCCAUCUUCAAACACUAAAAACAUAAUGAUUCCACUUAUUUUCUUGUGGAUUUCAUGGAAGUAGACAAGUAAUAUUGACCUGUUCUGAUGCAUAAUGUUGUUUUGUGGUACGAUGAUGAUUGUUAGGAGUUUAUCUAUGUAUUUUUGAGAGUGUAAGAUAUUUUAUAGCAUUUACUUUUACAUUUUAUUAUUUAUUGUAGGUGUUAAAGUAAAAUAAAUAGGACUUUACCAUGGUUCUUGAGUAAUUAUUAUUGUCAUGUUUGCUUAUUUAUUUUUGUGGAUAAUAUAUAAACUAUGACAUUAUUACAUUUUUCUACUUAGUAUUCUUUUAUAAAUCUUUUUCUUUUAUUCAUAUUUAUUCUUUCAUCAUUUAAGUUUGGACUUUUUUUUUGUGUACCUUUUAGUUUGGACUUGAAUAUGAAAAUAAUUAAACAAGUUGUUUAUUAGAAAAAAAAUAGGUUUAAUUGCAUUUUUCCUCCUAUCUUUUGUUAAUUGUGCAAUUUUGCACCCCUUUAUUUUUUGAGCGAUUUUGCACCCCAUCUUUUUCCCCCUUUCUGAUUUUGCCCCCCGUCUUUGUGUUCAAUUGCACUUUUGCCCCCUAUCUUUUUGCUAAUUGUGCGAUUUUGCACUCUCUCUUCUUUUUUUUGAACGAUUUUGCACCUUAUCUUUAGCCCCUUUUCCUCUCUUUUAAUGAUGAUUUUUAACAAAACACAAUUGGCAAAAGAUGGGGUGCAAAAUCACUCAAAAAAAACAAGGGGUGUAAAAUUGCACAAUUAGCAAAAGAUAGGGGGAAAAGUGAAAUUAAGCCACUUUUUUCUUGACAAGAAAGCAUCUCCAAGAUUUUUGUAAGAAGAUAAAAGAAAUACUCCCUCCGGUCCUAUUUAUAAGAUAAAGUUGGGUCAACAAAAGUUGAUGUAUCAGGUUAACAAUUUUCUUAUAAAUAGGACCAGAGGGAGUAUAUGUUUAAUUGUAUAUUAAUUUUCAAAAAGAACCAAAAUUUAAGAUAAAAAUAAAGAUUUGCGAGAAAAUAAUAUAUUUAUUGAAUUUAACUCCAUUUCAUUAACCCACUGACUUUAAUUAAUAAGAGUGUUUUCUUUUUGUGGUGGCCGAAGUUUAAACCUCAAACCUUAUAUAUAUUAUGCAUUGUCUCCAGCAACUAAGUUAAAUUCACGAUGACAAUUAAUAAGAGUAUUUUGGUAAAUGAUACAUUAUUCAAUCACUAUUAUAAACAAAAAUCAAUUUUUUUUUAUAAAAUUUUAUUAUGACUUAUAAUAGUGAUCAGAGGAUGUACUAACAUUAUUAUUAAAAUCACCAUAACCGAACGUUUUCUUAAAGAGAAAUGUUAUUUGUACAACCAUUUUUAUACAACUUUUGUACAACUUUAUCUCUGAUACUCACAUUAUCUUCUUAUUCUCUCUUUUCUUUUUUCUCUCUCCAUUGUUUUUGACCAAUAAGAAGAGAGAACAACAAGGUUGUACCAAAAGUUGUACCAAAAUAGUUGUUCAAAUAUCAUUACUCUUUCUUAAAAAUCGUACACAACCACAAUGUGACAAUUAAAAGGUAUGGGGAGUGCGGAUAGGUAUUAUUCUUUCCCGAGAAAUGAUAUUUGUACAACCACUUUGUGAUAACUUUUUGAUAACUUUCUCUCUCAUACUCACAUUAUUCUCUUAUUCUCCCUCUUUCUUUUUCUCUCUCCAUUGUUUUUGACCAAUAAAAAUAGAGAGAAACGAAGUUGUCACAAAAAUCGUAUCAAAUGGUUGUUCAAAUAUCACUUCUCUUCUUUCCCGUGUCUUUUUCACCCGUCCAAUGAUAAUCCAACCAUUUCUAAUAAAUUUUUAUAAAGUUCAGUGAAAUAAAAUGAAUGGUUAAGAUGAGUGACUUCAAGAGAACAAUUCUACCAUUAAUAAAAAUAGGCUAAAUUACAUUUUUGGUCCCUUAACUAUUUAGGUAGUAUCACUUUGGUCCCUAAGUUAAAAUUUGAUUUAUUUUGUUCUCUUAACUCCUUCCUGCUACACAUUUUGGUAUUUUUCGUUAGUUUUAAUUCAAAAACGUUAGGUUUUCUUCAUUUUCUUCUGGAAUUUUUCUCGGAUUCAUGUUGUUGAAGGUUGAUGGAGAUGAUAUAAAGAUGAAAAAGAGGAGAAGAAGAUGAAGAAAACCUAACGUUUUUGAAUUAAAACUAACGGAAAAAACUAAAAUGUAUAACGAAGAGAAGUUAAAGGACCAAAAUAAAUUGAAUUUUAAUUAAAGGACCAAAACAAUACUAGCUUAAUAGUUAAUGAACCAAAAAUGCAAUUUAGCCAUAAAAAUAUGUCUAUGGUUCCACUUGAACAAACGAUUCCUCUAUACAUCCGCCAUAUGAAUUAUUAAUUGAUUCUUAGAACUUACAAGAGUCCAAGUCUUGAUCGAAAAAAGAAGAGUCCAAGUGAAUUUUAAAUCAGAAAAUAUUGGCUAUUAUAGCGGUUGAGUUAUUCAAAGAAAAACAAAAGAUAUAAUAAUUCUACUUUUUUGGUACUUUUGUUUAACAAAAGUGAACAGCACAUUCACACAGCUCACAAACGUAUAGAAACAUCUAACGGCCGACUCAUUCAUAGUAAUAUAUUUUCAAGCUCCAGCUGUCCACGUUAUCUGUGGACCCCACACUCUUCGCUAAAUAAUAUUCUUCCCUUAUAAAUACUCUCACCCUCUCAAUUCUCAUAUCAUCACCACUUCUCAACAUUCACAACUUCUCUUUAUAUUUUUAUUUUCUCAUUUUCAAUUUCAAUUUGAAAGUUUUACAAUAACAUCAUCAACUAUGAAGUUCUUCUCCUUCUUUUUGGUCAUCAUCUUCGCCGCCACCGUGGCCUCUGCCCAAGACCUUAGUCCUUCGUUGGCUCCAGCACCAGGUCCUGAUGCUGGAGCUGCUGGAUCUAUUACAAGUUCAGCGGCUAUGAUCGGAGUUUCAAUUGUGUUGUCAAUGCUCGCCAUCUUCAAGCACUAAAAACAUGAUGGAUUCCACUUAUUUUCUUGUGGAUUUCAUGGAGUAGGCAAGUAAUAUUGACUUAUUCUGGUGCAUAAUGUUGUUUUGCAGUACAGUGAUGAUUGUUAGGAGUUUAUCUAUCUAUUUUUGAGAGUAAUGUAAGAUAUUUUACGGUAUUUAUUUUUACAUUUCAUUAUUUAUUGUAGGUGUUACAGUAAAAUAAAAAGGACUUUACUAUCGUUGUUGAGUAAUUAUUAUUGUCAUGUUUGCGUAUUCAUUAUUGUGUAUAAUACAUAAACAAUGCCAUUAUUGCAUUUUUCUACUUGGUAUAUUUUUUUAUAAAUCUUUUUAUUUUAUUCAUCUUUUAUCUUUCAUCAUUUAAGUUUGGACUUUUUUUUGUGUACCUUUCUGUUUGGAAUUGAAUAUGAAAAUAAUUAAAAAGUUGUUUCUUAGAAGAAAAAAAAUAUUUAAUACUAACAGCUCAAUUUUUGUUUUGAACAAUCAAAUUUAUUAGAAAUGACAGAAGUAGUACUUAACUCACAAUUCAGGAAUAGUACAAGGGAUACUUGCUUAGUAAAAAAUCCAAACUCUAACUUAAGUAUUUAAACAAAGAAGAGAGUUUGAGUAUCAUUUAUUAUAUAAACACGGUCCCACUUUUUUCUUGACAAGAAAGCAUCUACAAGAUUUUUGUAAGAAUAUAAAAGAAAUAUAUGUUUAAUUGUAUCUUAAUUUUCUAAAAGAACCAAAAUUUAAGAUAAAAAUAAAGAUAUUAAAAGAUAAAGAUUUGUGAGAAUAUAAUAUUUUUUUUGGUUUUAAAGAAUGAAGUGGCGAAAUUCAAUUCAUAUAGGUGAAACGAACUAUCUCGGGUUUGAACAUGCCUAAUCAAAAACAAAAAGUCGCAAAAAGUCGUUAACCAACAAAUUUAGCUGAAAUAGUUUAUGAACUACACCAAAAAAUAAUUUAACACGAAGAAAAAAAAAGGAAAAAAUCGUUUACGUUAAUAAUGAGUUGUGGUCUUUCUAUAAACUGGCAAAUUUAUUAAUCAAGCCAAUUUACAAGAAGUAACGAAAGCACAAGCAAACAAGAAAAAAACAAUCAUAAAAUAAAAAUAUAAAAAACAAGUACUACACCCUAAGAACAUGCCCUCAUAAACACAAUUUUACACUACACAAUCCGAAGAAAGACCUAACUAAGGUUUUACAAUUCGAGAGUUUACCUCAAUUUGUUUUACCUAUAUAAACUCAAACUCAUAUAAGUUUAUUUAAAAUUAAAAUUAUAUAAAAUUUAUUAUAUCCAUGACAUAAGUAAGCUAAUAUAAUAUUGCAAAUAUGUCAAUAAUUCAAAAUAUGACUUAAUUACAAAGACAAAGUAUACAUAACCACCAUAAUAAAGAGUUGUGUUCGGCUUAGCAUCAAAAUACAAAAUUAACUUGCAAAAUCAUAAGUUUGGUAAGACUUUAAACCAUCCAAUAAAGCAAGUUUUAAAAGUUUUUAAAGUUGUUAAUGUUGGAUAUUUAUAUAUUGGCUUCACUUUUGCCUAAAACAAAUAUUCAUGUGAGAUAUUGAACACGAUGUGUCAACAUCCUGGCAUGGUUCAGUUGAUCUGCACACUGUCUCGUUUUAUGCACGCGCUAUUUUAUUUAAAGAAUCCACAUCUUUAUUCAUGUUGGUCAAGCUGCGUGUUUUUAGCACAUGAUCAGAUCAGUUUGUGAUUUCCUAAGAUUGUGUUAUCUACUUAGGAAAGUUUGGAGGUGAUCACGAUGUUCCUAAUAAUGUGCCUACAUAUUAGGAGUUUCCUUUUUUGAUUCUGUUGAUCGUGAAAUGGAUCACCGGAUUGUUCUGAAGCACAACAAGUUUACUGACUCGUAUUGCUUCAGUAUUUAAACAAGACUCAUUCAAGCCGUCAUUUUGAAGAAUAGAUCAUCUAGGAUUUUGAGUCUGUUUGUGUGAGCUUUUCGUGUAUCAUCUUAAUGCAUGUUUAGGACUGUGUUUGAGUUGUAAAUUGUGCACUACUCUGAAGCUUUUAAGAAAAGAGUUAGGUAGUUUGUAAACUGCACCUAAGUUGUGAAAUACGGUGUUUAGUUUUUUUGUGUUUGUAAUUUGAGAAUCACAGGGGAUGUGAUCAAUUGUAAGGGAGUGAGAUGGGAUCUCAGAUCUAGGAGUUCCUAGGUUGAAGUCAGUACGGGUAGGUCCUAGGUCAUUAGCACAAACGAGGAGUUUGCUGAGAGCUAUUGAAUAAGGACUACACUAGUGGAUUUCCUUCCUGACUUGGUAGCCCCCAGAGUAGGUGACGUUGCACCGAACUGGGUUAACAAACUCAUUGUGCUUUUUACUUUUAUGCUUUGCGUUUUUCUUGUCUUUGUUAGCUUAGUGUUCGAAACAUUUCACUCAACAUCUGUUUUUGUAUAACUUGUGUUGAAACAUUGUAUGGAACAUCUUAAGUCUAACGUGCCAGAAUUUCAGUUAAUGAAGUUAUCCAAAAAAUAAACUAGUUAAUUUCUUCAAAAGUUCAAUCAUUCUAAAGUUUCUUAAUAUCAUUAUCAUUGGUGUCUUCAUCUCCAAUUUCAUCAAAUUCUUCUCGAGAUGAUAUAGAAUUUUCCAUAUUACAACCAAAUACAUGGCUUGAACUCACUUCAACAUUAAUUAACUCAUUCAAGUUUACUAUAGUUACAAGAUUUUACCAGGUUUAACACGUGUUAACUAACCCGGUCAAACAUUACAAUUUCAUCAAAAAUAAAGUAUAUCUGCGAGUUAACACGUUUUGGCCACCUAAAAAUGUAAACUCGGACGAAUUUACGAGUUAACAUUUGAUUUGUUGAACACUGCCCGCAACCACACCUGCCAGCUCCAUAAAAUCUACUGCCAAACCUCUACUGCUAAAUUACAUUCUAAAAAUAUGUGUGAGACGUUUUCAUCCGUUCCACAACCAAAUGAACAUAUUUUUUUACGAUUUAAUCCAAACUUCUCUUUUAACUAGAUUAUCUUUCGUCGGUAUCCUAUUUUGCAUCAUUUAUUCACACCAAAACUGAUGAAUACGCCUCCUUUAUCGUAUGUCCUUUUCUACCACUUAUCAUCCUAUCAUUCUUCAAAUUGUAUCUUCUUUAUCGUACAACUAAAUCAAACGCCUUUAAAUUUUUAAUCCCUACCCCUCCGACAUACUUUGUCAGUUAAUUUUCCUACUUACCUCUUUCCCAUCUCACCUUAAACUUCUAAAGAGAGAUUCCAGUUUAGAAAUUAAUCUAAAGUACCCUUGAAGAAAGAAAGAAAAUGGAUAGAUAAACCAUACAUCCCCAGUUUCAUUUUACUUGCCACUUUAGUGUUUUUUUUCUUCAUUUCGAAAUAAUUGUUACUUAUACUAAUAUAAUAUUUUUUUUCAUUAAUAUACCUUAAUUUAUUGAAUUUCACUCCAUUUAAUCAUCUCACUAACUUAUGUUUUGAUAAAUAAUACUAACUAUACAUGUUGUUAGUUAUCAUGAAAUCCCAGGGAUAAAGUACAUAAUGAUCAGCAAAAAAGAGAACAUACGAAUAUUCAUGUGGGAGAUACCCAUAGAAACUCAUAGUAGAAGGAAUAGAUUGGAUAAAAGAUGAUUAAGAGCGUACAAUGGUGAAAGCUAUUUAUAAGGGAAAGUUAGUCUAACUAACUCUUAACUACUCAACCAACCAGCUAACCAUAGUUUUCAUAUCAACUAACUAUGAUUUAUUCAUUAUACUCUAAUAGUCUCCCUCAAACUCAAAAUGGAGAAAUUCACCAAAUUUGAGUUACAAUUUAUUCACUAUAUUGUCCAACUCUACUCUCAAAAGUUACGAUUAACGUGACAUCAUGCUUUGGAAUACUUUAAUUUUUCCCAAAAAUGCCAAUUCCCUCCUUUGAUUAUAUUCAGUCGAAAAUGGCAUUUUUGGGGGUCCCAAUUUGUUAGCUGGUAUUUUCACCAGCCUCAUUUAAUAUGGUCAACAUUAGUUGACUUUUACUCUUGCAGGAAUUGAAGUCUUUUUCCUCAAUAAAAACAUUUUCAACGAAAUGUUGGAUUUAGUGUGAAGAGUCUCGAAGCAUUGAAGUUCGACAAGACACAUAGCAAGAGGCGAGGCCGUUGUAGUCAAGCAACUGCCUUUGGAGCGGGAAAGAUUCAAAUUUCAAAGGAGAAUCGGUUUCCUCAAAGGAGAACGUGGGAUACAAGCGGUUGUCUACAUGGAGGGAGUGUUGAUCGUGUGAUUAGUUUCUUUCCACUUAUUUCUUAUGUAUAAAUAAUAGUUUUCCAUAGGAAAACGGGUCGCAUAUCGCCUAUACAGAAUUUUCAAAACACUCGAAGUAUCGGCGCAAGAGAAAAUGGUCACAAAGAAUGUAUGUAAAGGAUUUGUCAAACCACCUUUAUUUUUAAUGCACUUGUAUUUGCACUUUUUCUUUUCUUUAAGUUUAUGCAAUUUAAACUUAAUGUUUUAAAAAACCUGUCGAAAGACGCCACACGGUCUCAUCCCGUUCCAUAAACAACCUACGAACUUGAUGAACGCACACCAACAAAUUGCACAACAUGUCCUAGGAUCUCUAGUUUGGUUCUUCUUGUUAUAAUCAAAACCAGUCAGUAUUUAUUUACCAUAAACACUGAUAAACAGCUAGUUAACUCACGGCAGGGGCAUUUUCAAAAAUUUGUUUGGGAGUGAACAAAACUUGUUGAAAGAAGAGCAUUUUUCUAAAAUGAUUUCUUAAUAAUUUAUAGAGCCCAAUCAAAUAGAGUCUUCAGUCACUGUAGCAUCUACUCCCAUGAAGUAUAAGAGCGAUUUCAAGAGAACAAUUCUACCACCAAUAAAAACACGUUUUUUGUUCCAUUUGGACAAACCAAUUCCUCUAUACAUCCACUACUUGUGAAUUACUCCAUUUGUUCCAUUUGGAGUAUUAAUGUAUUAAUGUAUUCUAGGAACCUAAAAGGGUCCAAGCCUUGUCCCAAAAAAGAGCAGUCCAAGUCAAUUUUAAAUCAGAAAACAUUGGCUAUUAAAGCGGUUGAGUCCUUCAAAGAAAAAACAAGCAUGAUAAUUUUACUUUUUUUUUAGGGAAAGCAUGAUAAUUCUACUUAGUUGUUUAACAAAACUAACAACACAUUCACACAGCGCACAAACGUAAACAAACAUCUAAUGACCGACUCAUUCAUAAUAGAUUUUUACAAGCUUCAGCUGUCCACGUUAUCUGUGAACCCCACACGCUUCUCUAAAUAAUAAUUCUUCCCUUAUAAAUACUCUCACACCCUCUCAAUUCUCAUAUCACCACUUCUCAACAUUCACAACUUUUCUUUAUAUUUUCAUUUUUUUCAUUUUCAAUCACUAUUCAAUAGUUUUGCAAUGGCAUCUUCAGCUAUAAAAUUCUUCUCCUUCUUUUUCGUCGCCAUCUUCGCUGCCAUCGUGGCCUCUGCCCAAGACCUUAGUCCUUCGUUGGCUCCGGCACCAGGUCCUGAUGCUGGAGCUGCUGGAUCUGUUGCAAGUUCGGUGGCUAUGAUCGGAGUUUCAAUUGUGUUGUCAAUGCUCGCCAUCUUCAAGCACUAAAAACAUGAUGAUUUCACUUAUUUUCUUGUGGACUUCAUGUAAGUAGACAAGUAGUAUUGACUUGUUCUGGUGCAUAAUCUUGUUUUGCAAUACAAUGAUGAUUCUUAGGAGUUAAUCUAUGUAUUUUUGAGAGUGUAAGAUAUUUUACUGUAUCUAUUUUUACAUUUCAUUAUUUAUUGUAGGUGCUAAAAUAAAAUAAAAAGGACUUUACUAUCUUUGUCGAGUAAUUAUUAUUGUCAUGUUUGCUUAUUCUUUUUUGUGUAUAAUAUAUAAACAAUGACAUUAUUGCAUUUUUCAACUUGGUAUUUUUUUUAUAAAUAUUUUUAUUCUAUUUAUCUAUUAUCUUAAUCUUUCAUCAUUUAAGUUUGGACUUGAAUAUGAAAAUAAUUAAACAAGUCGUUUAUUAAAAAAGAUAUUUAAUACUAAUAGUUCAAAUUUUCGUAAGAAUUUUUUUUUAUUUUUUUUUACAAUCAAAUUUAUUAGAAAUGAGAGAAGUAAAAUGAAUACUUAACUCAUAACUCAGGAAUAAUACAACAGAUACUUGUUCAGUAAAAAACAAACUCUAACUUAAGUAUAUAAACAAAGAUGAGGGUUUGAGUACCAUUCAUAAUACAAACACACUUCCUCAUUUUUCUUAACAAGGAACCAUCUCCAAGAUUUUUGUAAGAAUAUAAAAGAAAUAUAUGUUUAAUUGUAUCUUAAUUUUCUAAAGGAACCAAAAUUUAAGAUAAAAAUAAAGAUAUUAAAAUAUAAAGAUUUGCGAGAAUUUUUUUUGUUUUUUUUUGUUUUAAAGAAUAGAGCGGCGAAAUUCAAUUUAUAUAGGUGAAACGGACUAUUGUGGGUUUGACUAUGCCUAUUCAAAACCAAAGAACUAUUGCGAGUUUGACUAUGCCUAUUGAAAACCAAAAAAAUUGUUAACCAAGAUAUUUAGGUAAAGUGGUUAAUGAGUUAGACAAAAAUAUGAAUAAUUUUGGAGUUUUUGAGUCUGAUUCCUGAGUAGAAAAAGUCAACACGAACAAAAAAAAAUUGACCGUUUACGCCAUUGAUUUGUGGUCUACCAUAAGUUUGAAUUUGUUCAGUUUUCUCCACGAUUAAAUGCGACUAUAAAUCGGCCAUUUUAGAAAUAGGGAAUCAGAAUUCCCUUAACUUGUAUGAAAUCGACCUUUAUUCUCUAAGUUACAAAAGGUUAAAUUUUUAAGAUAAAGUUUCCUUUUAUUACUUUUUUUUUGUGGUACCUUUUAUUACUUCCUUAAUCGAUGUUCUAAGGGCAUUCAUUAGCAAGACCCAUAUUUUAUUUUUAUUUUUGUAUUUAAAAAGAAUAGAGAUUGAGAAAGAGAAAUGUGUAAGAGAGAAUGUGAGAAAAGGGAUAAAUAUGUAAAAUAUAAUAUCAUUUGAAAUAUGAUAUAAAAAACAGAGAAAAUGUUUUAUAUUUUAGGGUUACUUGUUAAAGUAGCCUAUGUAAUAUAUGCAAAGUCUGAAAAUAGUCCUUGUAAAUAUAAAAACACAAACUAUAUCCUUGUAGAGGAAGAUUCAAGAUCCAAAACAGAGGUCAAACUCUUUCUGGCAUCAGAAGCAAUGAAACUAGUGGGAGAGAUAACAACGUGACGAAGUAGGAGUGAGGAUGAGAACGAAGCAAAAAUGAAAAAUGGGUUUUAUAGAAUAAAACAGAGGGAUUUCAAUUUCAAAGUUUGAAGUGAAUGAAUGUUUAAAUUUAUGUUUAUUUUUUGUUUAUGGGUUUUUAUGGAUUUUUUAUGAAGGUUGAUGAUAAAGAUGGUAUGAAGUAGGGUUGUGAAAUUCUGGCACGUUAGACUUAAGAUGUUCUAUACGAUGUUUCAACACAAGUUAUACAAAAUCAGAUGUUGAGUGAAAUGUUUCGAACACUAAGCUAAUAAAGACAAGAAAAAUGCAAAGCAUAAAAGUGGAAGGCACAGUGAAUUUGUUAACCCAGUUCGGUGCAACAUCACAUACUCUGGGGGCUACCAAACCAGGAAGGAAAUCCACUAGUGUAGUCCUUAUUCAAUAGCUCUCAGCAAACUCCUCGUUUGCACUAAAGACCUAGGACCUACCCGUAUUGACUUCAACCUAGGAACUCCUAGAUCUGAGAUCCCAUCUCACUCCCUUACAAUUGAUCACAACCCCUGUGAUUCUCAAAUUACAAAUUCAAUGAAAUGAAGUUACCAUCAAACAAAACAACUAAACACCGUACUUCACAGCUUAGGUGCAGUUUACAAACUACCUAACUUUUGCUUAAAAGCUUCAGAGUAGUGCACAAUUUAAAACUCAAACACAGUCCUAAACAUGCAUCAAGAUGAUACACGAAAGGUUCACAUAAACAGACUCAAAACCCUAGAUGAUCUAUUCUUCAAAUGACGGCUUGAAUCAUUCUCUAGGUCUUCCAGUCUUGUUUAAAUACUGAAGCAAUACGGGUCAGUAAACUUGUUGGGCUUUAGAACAAUCCGAUGAUCCAUUUCACGAUCAACAGAAUUGAAAAAGGAAACUCCUAAUAUGUAGGCACAUUAUUAGGAACAUCCUGAUCACCUCAAAACUUUCCUAAGUAGAUAACACAAUCUUAGGAAAUCACAAACCGAUCUGAUCUUGUGCUAAAAACACGCAGCUUGACCAACAAGAAUAAAGGCGUGGAUUCCUUAAAUAAAAUAGUGCGUGCGUAAAACAAGGCAAGGUGCACGUCAACUGAACCAUGCCAGGAUGUUGGCACAUCGUGUUCAACAUCUCACAUGAAUAUUUGUUUGAGGCAAAAGUGAAACCAAUGUACAAAUAUCCAACAAGUUGGACAAACAUCCGACACCGAACGCGAGCCCGAUCAAACCGAAAGAAAUAUCAAAGUUUCGGUUGGGUUUAUCGUGUUAGUGGGUCGUCGAUUUAUGUUUCGGUCUUACAUGGACACAAACAGUCGGAAUCGGAUUAUACAACCGUUGAAACCCACAUCCGACCAAACUUCUUUCAUUACCGCUAGUAUUUUGCCAUGAAAUGACAAUACAAAUUCAACUAUUAAUUAUAUCUAUCACCUACAUUUAUUAAUUUUUUCCACUAAUAAUACUUAUUUAUUAAUUUUUCCCUACAUUUAAUUAAUCAACUAACUUUAAUUAAUAAGAGUAUUUUGAUAAAUGAUACACCAUCCGAUUACUAAUAUAAGCAAAAAUCAACAUAUCAUAAUAUUUAUUUAUUGAUUUUCACUACAUUUAAUUAAUCAACUAGCUUUAGUUAAUAAGAGUGUUUUGAUAAAUGACACACCAUCAAAUUACUAUUAUAAGUAAAAAUCAACAUAGCUGAGCGUUUUUUUUAAGGAAUAACCGAUCAUUUUCUUAAAAUGUUUUAUAAUGCUUUCUUUACAGAGCCCAGCCAAAUAAAUACUCUUCGGUCACAGUAGCAUCUGCUCCCAUGGAGUACAAGAGUGAUUUCAAGAGAACAAUUCUACCACCAAUAAAAACACGUCUUUUGUUCCACUUGGACAAACCGAUUCCUCUAUACAUCCACCACAAGAGUGAAUUAUUAAUGUAUUAUUAGAACCUACUAGAGUCCAAGUAUUGAACCAAAAAUGAGCAGUCCAAGUAAAUUUUAAAUCAGAAAAGGUUGGCUUUUAUAGCGGUUGAGUCGUUCAAAGAAAAAACAAACAUGAUAAUUAUAUUUUUUUUGUAGUAAAAGAGAGCAUGAAUAUUUCUAGACUUGCAAGCCCAAAAAAAGUCAUAAAAAACGAGACUUAAAAUCCUACUAGGAGGAGUCUCCAUAACAUGAAUAUUAAAAGAUUCCAAAGAGAAGCAUUUAGAAACAAAAGCAGAUGCUUCAUUAUUUGUGGGGUGAAGCAGCAGCUACUGCAACAUACUUCAUAAAUAGAAGCCUUGCAAAGAAAUUGCAAGAUAAGACACCAGAAGAAGCAUGGUGUGGAGUGAAAAAAAGUGUUCAACAUCUAAAGUUAUUUGGCUCAUUGUGUUUUGAGAUGUCUGAUCUAGGCAACUCAUAUACUUCCUGGGCAUUGAGUUUGAAAUGAAUUCACAAGGUGUUGUAAUUCAUCAAGGAAGUAUGCACUAGACGUUCUGAAGAGGUUUAAGCUGCUGAAUUGCAAACCAAUUUCAACUCCAGUUGACACAAGAGUGAAACUUUCUCUUUAUCAAUGAUGAGAAAGAGGUUGAUCCAACUCUAAUGGAAUUGAAACUAAAGAAUAAUGAAAGGAUGGAAAUGAUGGUUUAUAGCAAAUCUUCUAUUGACUUAGCCAAGCAUAUAGUUGCUCAUGGAAGAAGUAAACACAUUGAAACUCGUUUGCACUUCCUAAGAGAUCAAGUAAACAAAGGAAAGCUGGAAAUUGUGCACUGAAAAACAGAAGAGCAUGUUGCAGACUUCCUUAAAAAGUUAUUGAAGACUAGANNNNNNNNNNNNNNNNNNNNNNNNNNNNNNNNNNNNNNNNNNNNNNNNNNNNNNNNNNNNNNNNNNNNNNNNNNNNNNNNNNNNNNNNNNNNNNNNNNNNNNNNNNNNNNNNNNNNNNNNNNNNNNNNNNNNNNNNNNNNNNNNNNNNNNNNNNNNNNNNNNNNNNNNNNNNNNNNNNNNNNNNNNNNNNNNNNNNNNNNGGAUCCUGGAGGUUAAGGUGUUGCAUCAUUCUCAAGAGUAUACAAUUAUUUUUCUCGUGCAUGCGAUUGCCCCUUUGGACAUCACCACGUAGCCCUGAAAUUUCAACACCUUUGUCUUUGUUGCUCGGUGCUUAUCCUUUGGAUUUCAUGUUGCAUCAAUGUCCAUCAGUCAUUGUCAUAUUGUCCGUCGGCUUCAUGGUUAUGGUGCACCGGAUCAUCAUGCAAGUGUGCUCUUCCCUCAUCCUCAUCACCACCAUCAUCAUCAACAUUUUGUACAUGUGGGUUAGUGUAACGCCCUACUUCUAUUAAAGCGAUAAAACAUACGAAUAAAGCAUAUAUUCAAGAAAUAGACGUUACGUCUUCAACAAAUAACAUCAAUAUGGAUAUAUAAAAUUUCUCAACAGUCGCAGCGGAUAUAAAUCAUACAUCAUCAAACAUACAUGCCAUGAAAUCAAUAUACAUCAUGAUAUAAAAUCUCCAAAUCCCGACAUAUGGGUCAAAUCUCAAAAACAAAUAAAUCCAACAAAGAGAAAAACAAUCUUAUCAUGGUUGUGAGACAACCUUAUCAUGACAUCAUCAAGUUGUGAGACAACCAUUUAUGAGAAAAACAAUCUUAUCAUGGUUGUUAGAUUGUAAAGUUAUUCGUGUAGGGAAUCUAGUGCGGUACGGGACGAACUUGAAUGGUACCAAGACAUAUGAACUUGUGACAGGUCUAAUUUGCAAUGGAGCAAUCAUAUGGAUUUGUUGCGGGGAUAAUUUUUUUUUUUGGAAUUUCGAGAAGCACCUUGGAAUUUCAUCCUUUAUUCUGAUGUAGAGGUGUUUCUGUUCUUCUGCUAAUGUAUGGUAUACCAAAAAAAUUUGGAUAACCCAUACCAUAUUUUGGUAUACAAAAUGAUAAUGUUCUCUAUCCUCAACCUCGUGCAUCUUAUGGGACAGUACCCACUAUCCCACAUGAAAUAUUUUGAGUUAUUUCUAGUGCAAUUCCUACAACUAUAUCUUUCAAGGGUCUCUAGUGGAUGCAAGAAAAAUAACAUAUAAUUUUGCAUCUUAUAAACAUUGUAGAUAACUAGAUGGUUUACAUGAAAGGGACUAUAUUUGUCCAAAAUAUGAUAAUGUUGACUUUGAUUUUAAGAUAAAAUGAGGCAUUUCGGUUAUGAAUACAAAUUUAACAUUCUCACAUUUUGAACAAAUCCAAUUCCCUUUAUGAUAAACCAUCCAGCCCUCUACGAUGUUUAUGAGAUGCAUACUAUUUGUUAUUAUUCUUGCUUCCCUUGGAGGAGGACCUUGAAAGUCAAAGCCAUAGGGAUUGAUUUUAGGCAUUGAACUACAAAUACUUCUAAAUAUUCCAUGUUUGAUAGAGGGUAUUUAACUAUAAGAUACAUGAUGCCAAGGAUAAAGACCAUUAUUAUUUUGUAUACUUGAAUGUGAUAUGGUUGAUCCAAAUUAGUUUGGAUAGUGUAUGAAUCAAAACACCUCGAUAAUACAAUUGGUGAUGAUUAUUUAUAUAUGAUCUCAUUAUUUGGAAACUAGAAUUACAUAUGGUCUUGAAGCAUCACAAUGUCUUCGAUAUCAAACUUUUCCAAAAGAAAGAUUUAAGUUCCUACAAGUUGUGAAUGUCCAAUCUACAUUGUUACGUGAAAUAUCAUUUCGAGAUCUGUUUGAUCCAAAUGAAGCUUGAUUGUCAUCCUUAGAAGAAUCCAUUAGUAGGGUUCAUAAAUUGAGAGAGUAAAGUCCUCAUUUUUAUUUCCUCAAUGAUUAAUUGUCAAUGUUAAAAAUACAUUCCUCAAGGAUAUUUCUAAUCAAGAUUAUAAAAAGAUAAACCAAACUUCAAUAUUGAUUUUCAAAUCCCCAUUGUAUGUGUGAUAGACCUUACCUACAACUUCAUUUGUUAUAUGUUUCCUCUUCAUACUUAUCCACAACUACGUAUUCAAAAAUCUCUUGUUAGAAAAUAUAUUAUUUUCAGAUAUAUAUAUAUAUAUAUAUAUAUAUAUAUAUAUAUAUAUAUAUAUAUAUAUAUAUAUAAGCUUUAAGAAAUCUUUGCAUGCAAAAAUUGUACAAGUGGACUUCACAAAAUUUUCAAUGAUACUAAUAAGAUAAUUUUUGUUUUCAAUUCAAAUUGUGUCUUUAAGAGCAUUAAAUCCAACUUUACCCUUUAAAUUGUGUCUAUAAGUACAUAUUCCCGAAAGAAUCAAGAUGUUCUUAUGAAGGGUGCUGAGAGGUGUUCUCCAAACUCGUAUGAGACUACAAGAUAAAGGUGUGCAGUGUUCGAAUAGUUGGCCAUUUUGUGCAACAAAUUAUGAGAAUGAUUAGCAUGUUUUUAUAGGGUGUGAAGAGGCGAAAAAAAUGUAUGGAUUUGCGGCAGGAAUGUGGCAUCUAGUUCAGGAUGCGGCUAUUGUUACUGUAAACUUGGCAGAUUGGUUUUUUUCUCUAUUAUGCAAGAUAAUAGAUGGUGAAGGUGCUGAUUUGGAAAUGAUUCUUUGGUGCUCGUGGCAUCGAUGAUAUGAUUAAGUAUGGGACAAAGAUAUGAAACCAAUUAAUGUCGCAAUUCAGAUGGCGCGCGACACUCUUUUCCAAUGGAAGGCAACUAGAAAUGCGAAUUGUGUGCAUGUCCGACAACAACAAAUUAAUAUUGUGCAAUGGCAUCCACCAGAGACGAAUUAUGUUAAGUACAAUGUUGAUGCAUCACUGUUUGCAGAGCAACAAAGCUUUGGAAUUGGAAUGUGUAUCUGGAAUCAUCGUGGUCAAUUCAUCAAAGCGUAAACAACAUGGCAUGACGGAAAUCCACCACCAUAGGAAGCAUAGGCAAUCGGUUUACAUGAUGCUAUUCUUUGGCUUCGACAAUUGGGAAUAUCAAAUAUGCACUUUGAGCUAGAUUGUAAGCUAGUAGUUGAUAGCAUAGUUGAUAGGACUAAUAUUCAGGCUGAGUUUGGUAAUAUAAUAUCUAUAUGUAAGUAAGUCUCUACUAUUCCAAUUUCUAAACUUUAAGAUAAGUUUUUUUAAGGGGCAAGUAAAUUAUGUCACUCAUAGAUUAGAAAAGGUGUCACAAAUGCAUGCUCGUCACCAGGUGUUUGAUUUGAUUCCAUCGUGUAUUGACUCUAUUGUGAGAAAUGAAAUAAUAUGAGUUUUUGUUUGUCAAAAUAAACAAAACAAUCUUCUCAACACAUUCAUUUUCCCUAAAAAAAUAUUGCACAACUAAAAUGACAUUAAAUUGAAUUUUAAAAAAAUAUCACAUUAAUUAAGUGAAGUUAAAUUAAAGCAAUACUUGUUCUUAGAAUAUAAAAAAAAAAUACUUUGAUCUUUAUAUCUUGGUGCAUAAUAAUAAAAAAAACUUAUACUCUUUUAUAAAUAUCAUGUACCAACAUCCAAAGAAAAUCACACAUCAAACACAAAAUAAAAAAAGUUUUAUAUAUAUAUAUAUAUAUAUAUAUAGAGAGAGAGAGAGAGAGAGAGGAGAGAGAGAGAGAGUUAACUAGUGGAAUGUAUAGUAGUUAGUCACAAUGAAACUGAAAGUAAAAUACAAUCAUAGACAUAUAUCUCUAUGAUCAACACUUUUAAUACAAGACAAAUAUAAAAGUAAAUCAUGAAGUUACAACUAAAUCUUUGUAUAAAACUAAUUAAUACUCUUUUUUUUUUGGUUACAACUAAUUAAUACUCUUUUUGAAUCAACAUUGUUUUUUUAUGAUAAAAUAUAUUACGUAAUCUCUAAAAUUAUCGUAUAUUACAAUACCAUAUUUCUAUAUUGUACUAUUCCCGGUUCUACGAGAACCAAAAUCAUUAUUUACAAGACGAUUAUGUUAUAUAGUUUCAUUCCCCAUUACUCGCAUGACUCUGAGUGACCAUUUUCAUCAAGUCCUCCUAGGAAUAUAAAAAUGACAUUAUACCAUAGAAUAAUUGAUAGACUCCCUAACCGGAUCACUUUUAAACCUAACUGACAGGCCAUCUUGAACCGAUCUGCAUUGAUAUCUGAUAACCACAUAAAUGUUGGUUAUUACCUUUGAUUUCCCAUCAUUAUUUAAUGAUCUAUUGAAUGAUUGCAUGGCCUAAAUAUCUUAUUAUGUGUCUAUUUAGGAAUUUAUGAAUGUAUAUAAAUUUUAUUUUUAUUUAGUCAUUUAGAAAAAUCUAUGCUCGUUAGUAUUGGUUGAAUGAAUAGGUUACACAUUUUAUUUUUUUGCAAAGUAGACCAAAGUAGCUUUAGUUGGAGCGAAAGAUGAAGCGUCGUAGGAUUGGAAGUACAUAUAAGUGUAAUUGUACGAACGUGGGUCCAGCAAGGAUGUUCAUUUGGAGCUAAAGUCUCUAAUGAUCUUAGAUAGUUGGAGUUUUAUGAUCAUUUUGUAGUGAGUAAUGCAAAAAUCUCAUUCCUUUUUAGCCUGGAUUGCAAUCCUUCUUUGUAAACUUUAAAUUUAUAUAUUAUUUAUGAAAUGAAGGGUUAUUAAAUGUUAAUCUACAAAUCUUGUCACAAGAAAAAGAAUUAACUUUUAUAAUGAAAGAAAUGACUAUGAUUUGACCUUAAUAUUCUUGCAUGAUUAAGUUUGUAGUCACGAACAUUUAAAGAAUAGUUCUCGUAAUUUAACCAUGAUGGUUUUGUUGACAACCCCCUUUGGCCACUUGGUAUCCAGAAAGUUGUAACUUUCCACCACUUUGCAAAUCUCCAUUCUCCACUAAGUUAUGAUAUUUACCACAUUUUUAUACUUCAGACUACUUUUCCAAUUGCAACAUAAGGUUUUUGUAAUGUAUAUGUGACCUCCAUUCUCUACUUCCUUUGGUCAUUAUUAUAACCAAAGAUUCUCUUUUCAGGUAUAUUGAAUAUGUGACGUAUUUGAUCUAUAUUAUACACCAAGCCAAAAGCUUGGCAUAGGCAUGUGGUGCGACAACCUAAGGCUCGUGCAUGUAUGGAAGUAUUUUUAUAGGGGGUGUGUGUAUAUCAAGACUUGUUUAUAGGGAGUAUAUAUAGAAAACAGAAGAAAGACAGCCCAUAAAUUUAUCUGACUUCAGCCCAACAACCCUUCAUCUUUUUUUUCAACUCAACAUAAUUUCCUUUCCUUACCCCGCCCAAUGCUUUCAUUUUUACACCCCAACAUUUCAUUAGCCAAAAUAAAAAAUUGAGAAGUAAAACCUAAAAUGCAGAAGAAAAAAAGAGUAGAAUCUCUACUCCUUCCCAGAGUCCAGCGUUGCACCUCUGUCUUUGAGUCUAGUGCUACCACCCACUCCUAGCCGUACGCCACCUUUAGUCUUUGGAUUCAAUUAGUCUCAUCAAAAUGACUUCACACACUUUAGUAUGAAUGAAUUUUUCAAGAUUUUGAUUUUGAAUGAAUGAUUUUUGUAUGAUUAUGAAUGAAAUAAACGAAUGAAUGAAAAAUGAAUUGAUUUUGAAUCAUGAUAUUUGUAAAUAGUGAUUAACUAUAUAUCUCAACUAUAAAGAUAACAAAAGUAUAAAAACUAAAGUUAAUAUCAAUACUUGGACUUUCCAAAAAUUUAAAUCAAAUGAUCAUAUCAUUAAGAUGCCAAUCUAUAAAAAGAAACAUAGAAAGAAGAGAGAGGUAGACAACCUGAAUAUUUCGGGGAUUUGGUUUAAAAGAUAAGGUUUCCAUAAGUAAGAAGGUAGAGUUCUCAGAAUGUGAGAAAAACAUAAGAAGGGGGGUUGAAUUGUGUUAGUUUUUUUUCUUUUUAAACUAAGUACAGAGUCCAGAGUCUGAUAAAGUUCAGAUUCUGGAGCAAUGUUCAGAGUCUAAUUCAGCGGAUAAAUUAGAGAGAGAGAGGGAGAUAUAUAUAUAUAUAUAUAUAUAGAGAGAGAGAGAGAGAGAGAGAGAGAGAGCAAUUAUCCUGGUUCCUUCAAAAAUCUGGAAGUAGUGCAGUCCCCCUUGGACAAUAUAUAUAUAUAUAUAUAUAUAUAUAUAUAUAUAUAUAUAGAGAGAGAGAGAGAGAGAGAGAGAGAGAGCAAUUAUCCUGGUUCCUUCAAAAAUCUGGAAGUAGUGCAGUCCCCCUUGGACAAUAUAUAUAUAUAUAUAUAUAUAUAUAUAUAUAUAUAUAUAGAGAGAGAGAGAGAGAGAGAGAGAGAGAGCAAUUAUCCUGGUUCCUUCAAAAAUCUGGAAGUAGUGCAGUCCCCCUUGCUUGUCCAAGGAGAUUUCACUAUAAUCCAAUCUGAUUACAAAUGCUCAAGCAUACAAGCAAGAGACUUCAAAUACUCAAGCACUCAAACAAGAGAUUUUCUAUGCUCAAGCAAGAGACUUCAAAUACUCGUCUAAGACGUCGUCACCUCUGCCUAAUCACUCCUACUAAUCCUCGUGCCCCCUUUCUCCAUCUAAUAACAUGAGGGGGCGUAGCGACCUUUUCGGCCCGUGCACUACCGAUAGUGGUCUCUCCGCCUCCUCUAAGUCUGUCAGGCCUCUUAGACAUAUCUACACAAUAUUUUCAAAAGAAAAAAAUCAAUGAUUUUUUCUAUAGGGACAUUGUAUCAUUUCUAACUAUUCAACAACAAUAGUUAAAUUUUGACAGUGUCAUUUUAAUUUGUAAACUGCCAGAUUGCCAAUUUCUAGCUAAUUUCAUCAUUAACAAUGCAAAAAACAAACAAAUUUUCAUUAAGACAUUUUAUCAAACACCUAGAGUGCAACUUUCAAUCAACAUAAAAUCUAACAAUUUCUAAACCCUAAACUACCAUAUUGGAGUAAAACUUACUCUAAACAACAUCUAAACUACAGUUCCUAACUUAAUUCAUCACUAACAAUUCUAAAAACUAACAUGCAAACCAAAUUUCGAAAAUCUAAAAAUGUAAAAUUUCUCAAAAAAAAAAAAAAAAUUAAACAAAAAAAGGCAAUGCAAUGUGAUAAUCAACACUUACUUAAUUUUGGGGUACAAAUUGACUUUGAUUGGCGCAAGAAUGAAGAAAAUCGCACUUAGAAAUUGAAUGGUUAUGUGUCGGACUUUGUUGUUUUAUAACAGCACGCAACGUGACUUAACUCACAGUGGAUUAAAACUUGCAUGAAUUAACUCACACUAAAAGUACCGAGGGUAACUUAAGUCACGCAUGGAUACUUUUAACUUUUCAUGUGGGAGUGAGCAAAACUUAAUGGGAUAAGAGCAAAUUUCUCUUAAUAAGUGUGACCCAAUAACUAGGUCCAUGUACCUAAGAAUACAAGAUCACAUUCUAAGGAAUAGAGCCCCUUUAACUCAUGCUCACAAAUUUUCUCAAAGUGUGGUGGAGAAAGGAAAACAAUAAAAUGUGUAUUAAAGUUUUUGAACUUUAUGUCAAAAUAUUCUUUGAAACGUAUCUUUAUGUCAAUAUUCUAGGAAGAAAUUCUGGUGACUGUUCCAAGGCAUCUCUACUCCUUAUCUUUUGCACCCCAUUAGUUUUUCAUCGAGAUUCUAGACUGAGUAAAUGAAACACACUCAAAUAUCACUUUUCUUUUUUAACAAUACUCGAAUAUCACUUAAUUAAUUGAGAAUUUAAUAAUUAUACUUUGUGAGUUAACAAAUUUUUUCGCAAUUUACAACUAUAUUUUGGAUUUGGAUUCUCUCGAUUGAUUUUUUUUUCUUCAAGUUUUCUCAAUUUUCAAUCUCUACAAUGUAAAAGAAAUUGAAAACUCAAGAUCCAUUAUAUGCAAUAUGGACCAUGUAAACAGAAUUAUUUAAAUUCUAGAGGCUUCAUAUUUUAUCUUGUGAUGUUUUUUCUUCUUUAUGGCCUUUGGUGCGCCAUUGGUUGGAUAUUAUAGGUGUUGACACCAAUAUUCUUUUGGAUCAUUUUAUUCAGUUUGUGAACUUGAUAGGUGGAGGUAAAGCUACUAGAGACUUUCUUCAGCUUAGUUGGCUCUUAUGCGUUUUGGUUUUAUGGAACGAACGUAAUAGCAGGGUUUUCAACAAUGUUGUAACUUCUAUUCCCAGGUUGUUAGAUAAAGUUAAAUAUAUGUCUUUAGUCUGGUUGAAAGCCAAAAAGGUGGUCUUUAGGUUUGGUUCAGAUAGGUGGUGUUCAAGUCCCUUACAAUGCUUGGGCAUCGCGUAAUGGUUUGUUUUGGUUGGUUGUAUAACUCUGUAUUUGUAAAGUAGUUCUUGUGGCACACCUUGUGCUAGAAGAGUUGCUUUUGGUGGUUAAUAUAAUUAUAUUUUUGUUUGUUAAAAAAAAACAUUUUCUUUAGGCCUAAAAGCAUGUUAAGGAGACCCUUACUAAUAUCCUUAUAGAACUCAGUAUUAAGUACUGUAUCACAGUUUCUAGAAGAUUAUUAUACAAUGCAAUCAAAUUUCUUUUAUGUAAUAUGAUAGUACAUAAUGAUUAUUUUCAUCCAUUACAUAAUGAUUCUUUAAUCAAAGCUAAAAGGAAAAUCAGAAAAGAAAAUUGAAAAACAAAAUUUUAUGGACCUAAACUCAUACUAGGCAAAUAUCAGCAUUAUUUUCUAUAAUUACACAAUUGCAAACUAUGGCACACUCUUUUUUUUUCUUGAUAUAUACACAAAAUUUUUGCUCCCAUUUUCUAUCUAAAAGGAAGGAUUAAAUCAGCUACAAGGUUUACAGUGUUUCUUCUCAUGACUUGCACAUUUGCAUUUGUCCUUACAAUCUGUGAGUAUCUGCAAGAGGUGAAAGAAAUUUAGUUAGACAUUAUAGAUUUUGAUGGAAUUUAAUCAUUCAAUGUGUUUAUUCUUUUCAUUUUUAGGGCAAGGUAUAUAAUUUUCUUGUACCUGAACUUGUUCUUGUAGGUCUUUAAUGUACUCAACUGCCAAAUCCAACAUAUCUGCUGUGCUUGUUUGCUGCGAAAUUAGAAGUACUAAGUUACUGAAAUGUAUAUAAACUAUGUACCACCGUCACUUUAGAUUGAAGACAUGUCCGGUGUAUGAGACAAGUGGUGUCUGAGACGGACACAUAUGACAUUCAAUUACUUUCAUUUUUUAAAGUCAUUACUGAUGUCGGUGCCAAUGUCAUGUCCUGUAUCCAUGUCUGCGUUACUAAAAUGCAUAUGAUAUGCUUUUGAGAAUGUUAAAAUACCUUAUCUGAUUUUGGGAAAAGACCUUGCAGUUUCUUGAUUCUGUCACUAAUUCUUGUUCUUCUGACCUGAAAUUUUCAGAUUAACAUAUAUGAAACUAUUGAAUCACAUAGGUUUAAUAAUAGUAAUGUAGAGUAAUUAAACAUUUAUAAUUGUGAGUACUAGUAGUAGAAUUUUACCCUCUCUGCAAUGCUUCUUGGAUGAGUUGCGAACCCUCUUUUCGCUCGAAUUUUACAAGGAACAGAACCUUGAACUUGAAGAAACUUCUCCAUAGAUGUCAUCUUAGUAGAAGAACUAGGAAGACUCAAAUGAUGAGUCAAACCAAGAUUUUGAUAGCCAAAAUCUGCUUCUUGAGAGUCCAAACCAUUUGUAGUAGAAAACAUUAUUUCAUCUUCAUUUUCUGUUUUGUGUGCAUUGAAUGCAGAGUUGUCCCAAAAUUCAUUGGUGAAUUUGGAGCUACCAUUUUCAUUUACUAGGUUUAUAGUUUGGUCACAAUUUGAUUCUAAGCUUUGAAUUCCAUUUUCAGCUAUUUGUGGCAUCCUUUUCAAGCAUGUAGAUGGCCUAGAUGAGAAGUUAAGUGUACCAUUUGAGAUACCAUUGGCUUUAAAGCUUUCUACCUCUCUCAAUGUCAAUGUUGCAAAACCUUCAAUUAAUAAAAAUAUUCACAAUACCAAAAUAAGUCAAACAAUUUGGUUUGAUUUGAUUUAAUGCUAAGUAACUUUCAAAGUGUAGUUAAUUCAUGUGUAGCACUGACACAUGUCAAUAUCUCAUACUGACACGAUGCCAACACAUGUGCUUACAUUCAAUCACGUUCAUCAGUGUUAUUGUCAUGUCAAGUGUCCUAUCCCAUGUCAGUACUUUAUAUGUUAAUUUUCAACAUUUUCAUAGUUUAACAAAGAUGAUCCUAGCCAUUCAUACAAGGGAGAAAACUCCUUCAACGCUUAUAUUUUAUAUUUACAAGACUCAAACCCGAGAUCUUCCUAAUGAUGAAUCAAGCUCCUAACUACUUGGACCAACAAACAUUGGUCCAAUUGUUCAUUUGUUUUUUUUUGGUUUCAUACAAGAGAAGUAUUUCAAUUUAAAUCAUAACAUUUAUCUUUCAAUUAUAUGAAAACAUUAAGCCCUGUUUGGAUAAAGACUUAUGGCAUAAGAGUUUUAGGAAAUAAACUCUUUAUAACUCUUUAUGUAUAAACUAUUCCUACAAUAAAAGAUAGAAUAAAGUCAAAUUUGUUUUCCUAUAAGCUGUUUUUCUAAGCUAUCUAGGAGAGCUUAAGGAAAUAAGAUGGAAAAACUUAAAGACAUGUCAUAAGCUCGCCCAAAUAGUCUGAUAAUAAGUGUGUAUGUUAGUGGAUAAGCCCAAUAAGCUAAUCCAAACAGACCUUAAUUACUACCAUAGGGGAAAAAGCACAUAGUAAAAUCUAUAACAGUUUGCAAAUAAGAUAAAAUUCAUACCAUUUUCAUUAGAGAAAAAUUCAGCAGGUGAACUCUUUUGCCUAAUAAGAUUGGAGCAAUUCCUAACACCAAUUUUAGAUUGAUUAGAAUCAUCUGAUUCCAUAGUGUUAACUCCACCAAAAGAGCCAUAAAAACCAUUACCAGAACCAUUUGAAAAGCCUUGGUAAAUCAACUCAGAUCCACCAUAAGAGUAAUUACCAUUCUGUUGUGCAACAGAUUCACCUAUUUCUUGUUUCACAGGUUUCACAUCAAACUCUUGCAAAUUUUCUUCAGAAUUGUUCCAUCCAUUGUUGGAUGAUAUCAACUUGGAUAACAUGGUAUCCAUUUCUGAACUUGUGGAUGGAAGAUAACUCUCAUUUGUAAACGAUUCUUCAUUGUUGAUAAAGUUUUGAGCGUUGUUGUCGAUUAGGUUUGUAAACAACGAGGUUGGAGCCGAGUUAUACCUCAUUAGUAGUCCAGAAUUUUGUUGUUGAUAAUGUUGUUUUGAAUGAAUAAUACUUGAAGAAUCCAUUUCUUGGUUUCUUCUUAGCUCUUCAUACAUAGCACCCAUCUUGCUUAUACAAUUAUCUGCAUAAAAAAAUAUCUUUAUAAUUUCUUCCUAUAAACUAAGCAACUUUUUGACUUGCAACAUAAACCGAAUGCUGCGACUGCAAUUUAAAACCUUUUGUGUGAUAACCUCAAACAGUUAAACUCAUGGUUUUAUAUUGCGGUCUGCAACUGUAAUUGUGGCUGAAAUAUAAGUUUUUUUGAAGUCUAUGAAACGACAUCGUGAUUGCCGAAAUAGGAAAGUUUGCGGCAUAACUUCGGCCGCAACCACAAUUUAAAACUAAAAUUAGACUCAAACUUCCAAAGGGUAAUCCAACAUGUUAGUUUGCUUCUAUAAAAACAAAUUACCUUAGAGAUUCUUUCUUGAUUUAUGUGCCUUUUGUAAUCAAGGUUAGUUUUUGUGACAAGAAAACUAAGAAAAAGCCAAUAAAGGAUAUAUAUGCAACUCAAAAAUUUUGGUGAAUUGAAAUCAAAACUUCAAGUCCUUCAGCUUCUUGAGUCAAACUAAGAACUCUUUAAUAAACACACAAACAGGUAAGAGACAAGAGAGGAAGCAAUGAGGAGGCUAAGAAAUUAUUGUUGUCUUGUCUUCCACUUGUGACAUAUAUUUAUCAAGUGUCUUGUUUAGUAUUUAACCUUAUGUUUCCACAAUAAUAACGAUUUUACCUUGAUGACCUAAGUGGUCUAUAACUCUAUAUCAUUGUGCCCUUCAUUUAUUGCAGUUGACCAUUAAAAAUAAUCAAAAUUGGGGUCUUGACUUUAUAGAUCUUUUGGCUGUGAACAUUUAAUAGUGAAAGUGGACUUUAAUAUAUCUUAUUUAUGUGCUUAUAAUAUCAUUAGACUUUGUAAUUACCUAAAAUUGAAGUACAAAUUAAACUAUGAUAUUAUAAUUUAGAGAAGUGAGUAUGGUCAAACUUUGCCUAUCUAUUGUUCAUUUUAUUUAUUCUAUUAGAAUAAAUUAUUUAAAUAUCAUUCUUCAUUAUUUUCUUACAAUCAAAAGUUUAGAUUAGGUAGAAAAGUUUAGAUUAGGUAGAUCUUGAGACUCACUAGAUAAAUAAAAGUCUCAUAGCUCAAAGAGUAUCUACAUAGAUAUAUGUACAUAUUACUCUCCUAUAAGCAUUAACAAUAAUAUUUAUUUCUUUUUUGAUUUUUUACACGUUCUUUUUAACGAGAUUCAAACUUUCAUCGUUAAAUGUGAAUAUCUUCUUCUAUAUUCCAAGUUUGAUUCACUACAUUUAAGAAGAGUAGUUCUUUCAAUGACAUCUGAUAAAAUUUGAGCGAUACAGAGAAGUGUAACCUCUUUCACUAGACCCGCAGAGCAUACUAAUAUUUGUUGGAUCUUUAUUCUUCAUAUAAGUCAAACUACUAAUUUAUUAAAUUUAUAUAAAAAUAUUAGAUAUAUUGACGUGGCAAUGGAUAAGAUAUAGUGAUGCUUUGCUUAUGAACCAAGCGACGUUUGUGUAAGCAUUAGGACGAUUGUGGUGCAAGGAAAAUGUACGGUUGGUGUUCUUUGGUUGCAGCAAGGGGCACACCACCUUUUUUUUUGCUUUUAAUUUUAUUAGGUACGUGCAUUAUCCCUUGAAACUAUUCUAUCAUGUAUAUUUUUUCAAAGAAAAUUGUCUUUUUCAUCAAGAGUUGAUUAAUGAUUACCAUAGAAAGGUACUUUUGGAAAGGUUGGUGAUUCUUGAACGUUUGUGGUUUUCCUUUCUUUGUUUGUAGUUAUCUAAAAUGAGGAUGAUAUUAUUAUGUGAAUGAAUUACACUCAUAUGAAUUAGACUCAUGAGGAGUGUUAUGGACACUCUCUUUCUAACACUCUCUAACACUCAUUAUUUGGUGUUCAGAUAUUGUUUAAGAUAUAUGUUAACCUAUUUUAUUUAUAUUCUAUAAUAAUAUAUUUGAAUAUUUCAAUAAUUAAUGUAAGCUCUAAAGAUGAAAAGAAGAAAAAAAAAAAAAAAAAGGAGGGGGAGGGAGUGAAUUGUGUUGGUUUCUUUCGUUUGGAUCUCUUUAGUAAGAUAAAACAGAUGUUGAAAGUAAUGUGACAAAGGAAGAGAGAUGACACAAUAUGUUUACUCUGGUGGGAAUAGGUCAGACCGCUCGAUAGGGCCUACAGUCUAGUCUAUUUAAAAUUUAGUUCGGUCCAGUUCGUUUUAUUAGAAGGUUGGGCUCAAGCUUUUUAUAAAGCCUAUUUAAUUAAAUAGACAAAGCCUAUUUAAUUAAAUAGGCUAGGCUCAGGCUUAUAAAAAAGAGUAUUAAGUCUAUUAGGUCUGUCUAUUAAACUUUUUAUAUAUAGUUUCUAUUCCAUUAUUAAUAUUCUUGAAAUUAUUUUUUAUAAACUCACACCUUCAUAAGAUUUUGUUAUUUAGUAGCAGACUUAUUCGUAUGUUUUUGGCCUUCAUAUGAUUUGACCUAUUUAAUAGUAUGCUUAUAAGAGUGGCUAGACUUUAGUGUAAAAAGGCCUUUAAAGAGGCUUUCAGGCUUCAUCGGGCCUUUAAAAAUGUCAGGUCAGGCCUUAAAAAUAGCCUAUAACGAAUAAUAAGUCAGGCCCAGGCCUAUACUUUUUGAAGUAAGCUAGACUUAGGCCUUAUAAAGUCCAGCCCGACCUAACCCAUGUCCACUCAUACGUCUAAUUCUCUUACACUUUCAAGGAAUUUUUCCAUUAUAAUCAAAAUGUGAUUAGGACAACACUAAGACAACCUUGUCUUAGAUUUUCUUACCUCAACCUAGAGGACUUCCUAAUCUCAAUAUAUAUAUUUACAAUAAGAGAUCACAAUAGCGGUGUUUACACGAACUCUAGAAGUAGUUUGUCUCUUUUUUUCGUUUGGAUCUUUUUAGAAAGAUAAAACUAAUGUUGACAUUAAUGAGACAAAGAAAGAAAGAUGGCAAAAUAUGUUUACCCUGGUUUAGGAUCGGGUGUAGGUCACUAUCAAUCGGUCUAACCUAUUUUAGCCUUCAGGGAUUAUGAAUGUCCCAACUUGAACAUUAUGUCCAAGAAGUUCUUCAAGCCUAAUAUAAUUAUGAAAAUAUAAGAUUGUUGUUGUGGUUUAGUUGCAAUGGAGGUUGUCAUAGUUGGUCCUAGAUUUUCGAUGACCUGAACGAAUCAAUAAAUUUGUGACCUUUUAAUUAUUCGAAUGUUUUUGUUCUUGUAUUUUUGUUCUUGUAUGUUUGGUGUGACUCGCUAAAAACCGUCGAAAAUCGGCGACUAGGUCGGUUUGGUGAACCGGACCGGAUCAACAUAAAAAAAUCAAAAAAGCUGGAAAAAUUUCAUAGAACAGGCUGACGAAAAAGGAAAGAAGAUGUGAGAGAGAUUGAAACUAACUAACUCGCGGUUAACAUGUACAGAGAUGAAGAAAAUUUUAGAUCUCACAUAUGUUCUUUAUUUGAGAUCUAUUCGUUUGAAUGAAAGUAGAUUUUAGUUUAGAAAGAAUAAAAGAUGAGGGUAAGGGAAGAGAUGACACUGCAACAUCAAAACUAGGUUAUGUUUCCAGCUUCAGUUGGCAUUUGGCAUUAAGACCUAGUAAAAUUUCACUUCUUGGUCCGCAUUUAAGACCUAAUAAGUUCUAGUAUCUUUCUUAGGUGAUGUUAUCUUGUGCCUUUAGGGCUAAUGUUAAACAUUAAUUUCAUUCCAUUAAUUGUAAAAAUUUAAUAGAAAAAAAUUAGCACUAAAUAAUUUGAGUAAUAAAUUAACACAAUUUUCAAUACAUAAAUACUAUCUGUGGAAUUUUUAACAUGUGUCAGAAGGGCUGGCACAAGUUAACAUUUCCCAUCUUUCUUUUGUCGUAAAAGUUAACAUAACUAUUGGCAUUACUUUUCCAAAAAAAAAAAAAAAAACUAUUGGCAUUACUUCACCUUUUAAUAUUUUUAAAAGGACUUUCCUUUUUAAAUAUUAUAUAAUUUGUACAAUUAUAUUUUUUAUAUAUUUGUAUAGAUUUAUUUUUUGAUAAGUAUAUAUUUGUAAAGAUGUAAUGAGUUUUUUUUUAUAAUUUUUUAUAUCGACUAAGUUAUCUAAUUUAAUAUACAUACGAAUGUUUUAUAAACAUCGAGUUAUAUGACUGAGUCAUCUGGUUCAAUUCGAUUCAAUCAUGCGGUUCAAUUGAUGAUCUAGUGGUUCAAUCAAUGACUCAGUAACCUCGCCGAGUCAAUGACCGGUCUAAUUUUUAAAAUUAUGCUAUAGGGUUUCUUUCAAAAUUAAAAAUAAAGCCCAUAUUUCCUUUUAAAAAAAAUAAAAUUAAAGCCCAAAUUCAGUUAGGAUAGGUUUCACCGAAUUGAUUCAUUGAAUUAGGGAUAAGAAGACAAAACAGCUGAGUCUCACUCAAAGAGUUCGCAAAUUUCCCAGCUGUAUUAGCCGUAAUUGAUAAACUAAUCAACUUUUCUUUAAUGCUUCGAUUUAAUAAGGAAAUUAAAAGAGGCUUAGUAGUCAAAGUUUGAAAAAAUACAUAAGCAAAAAAAAAAUUUAAGUUCAUAAAAAAAAAAAAAAAAAAUUUAAGUUGUAAUAAGCAUUACUUGUUUAAUGGAAAUAUUAACGAAUGCUCCGGAGUACUCUUUAAGACCCAAAAGUAGUACUCCCUCUGUCACAUAAUAUAAUAAAAAAAAAAACUCGUUUUCUUUGUCCCAAAUUAUAAGAAAAAAAACAAUAUUUUAUCCUAUUUAAUCUUGUUUUUUUUAAAAAAUCUCUUUUCCAAAAAAAACUUGUUUAUUCUCAUAAAAUUAAAUGCAAAUUACAUUAAAUUUUCUUUCUCUUUCAUUUUUCCAUAAUCAAUAGCCAAUGAAAUUGUUUUUACAUCUUCCUAUAAAUUUUUUUCCAAAAACACACAAAAACUAUACUCCAAAUUCUUAUGUUUUAGUUUUUUUAAUAAGUGUGAUUUUUUUUUAUUUGCUUAUAAUUUGGGACAGAAUAUUUGACUUUUUUAAAAACUAUACUUUUAAAAAUGCAUGUAAUGAUUGCCUUAGAAAUCAAAAUAUUUAACUUUUUUAAAUAACAAUUGCUUAUUUUAGAAUGCUUAACGAGUGCCGAAAUAAUAGAGCUUGGCUAAAAAACUUGAGAUGGUACUUUAAAAAAAAAAAAUUUCAUAUUUCACAACUGUUAUGUAUUAUAAAAAUUAUAAAAUAUUAGAAGGGAGAAUUUCUUUUGUAAUAGUACAAUUGUUAAUUUGGAGAUUUUUUUUAUUUGACAAGACAAUAUAAAAUUACCUCAAAUUAAAAGGUAUGCUAACCUCCGUUAAACAUCCAAGUAUAAAUACGACAAAUAUCAUGCACAACACUUUGUAGGGUGUUUGAAACUGCUGAAAAGAUAAACCGUUGCAAAAUUAUUUAUAAUCUUGUAAAAUGGAUUAGUGGUUUUUUUUUAUUUGUUUUAUUUUUGCAGGUGGGUCGUGGUCCACCAUAGUCAAUGAAAAGCUCCGGAACGAUUCAUCAUUUAAUGAAACUCAUUAGUCACACUUGAUUAUAUUGACUCAUACUAUAGUAACGAAAAAAAUUCAAAUACUUUCAUUUUUUUUUUUAAUGACAAAUAUUAGUAUGCUAUUUUUUGAAUGAAUGAAAAUUAUUUUUUUAAUGGAGGGGGUUGACCAUUAUUAGCAAAGGCAUCAACAACAACAAAUUUCCUUCCAAAAAAUGAGAACAACAAGUCAACCUAAACUUCCUCCAAAAUAAGUCAACCUAAACUUAAACACCAAUUGGACCACCUAAUUUUAAGAAUCCAAAACACCGACAACUUUCCCUUAAAUUGCUACUUUCUACCUAUAAGUUUUUGCUAAGACUUUGAACCCUAAAAAUUGAAACUCUUUAACUCCUUUAAUUUCUUAAUUCAAUCCACUUGAGCAUCCGACCCCAACACUUUCAUUUUCUAAAAUGAUUAGUUCAAGAUUAUUACAUGAAAUAAGGAAUUUAAAUAAGGGAGUGUGAAAUAUUUUCUUCGGAAAUUGUGUGUUAAACAUACUUCCUCUCAAAAAAAAAAAAAAAAAACUUAUUUUUUUUUAGGGAUGUUAAACAUACUUAUUAAAAAUUGAUAAAUGAAAAUUAUUUUACUGAGAAUAUUGUAUUAGAAAUUUAAAACUUUUAAUUUUGUCUAAAAAUUCUUUUUUUUGUUUACUGUCUGUUUCAUAAGUAUUGUGAAAUUAAAAGACUCGUUAAAUUAAAACUUUAUUCAAUCUAAGUAUUGUUUGGUUGUAUUGUAUAUGACAAGGUUAAAGUUAAAUGAAGUUCAAAUAAAAUGAUUAUUUUCUUGUUAAAAAAAUGAUUAUUUUUCUCAAGUUAUUUAAAACUGAUGGGUUUUUGUAACAAAAAAAAAACAAAACACUGAUGGGUUUUUAAUUUAAUUAUCAGUAGACUUAGAUCGAAUGGACUAGAUUCAUUCAAUUUAGAUACCACGCUUUUCCCGUGUUGUGUGGCACUGUCCAAAACUUCGUCAUUCUAUAUAAAUAAUAAUUAGUUGACACAACUUGUCAGGAAAAAAAAUUAGUUGACACAAGUAAAGCAAUUAUAAAAAUAAGGGUGGAUUAGUCAAAAAAUAAAUAAAUAAGAGUGGAGAAUCAUACUCGUAUAUGAGGAAAAAAUAUGAAAUUUAUUUUGGUUUUUAAGAAAAUAUUAAGUUUUCCUUUCAAAAAAGAAAAUAUUAGGUUUUGUUGGAUACGUGUGAAUCAUUUUAAUGUCAUGUAAUUUUUUUCCUCAAAAAAAAUGUAAUGUAAUUUUUAUGUAUUUAACGAUACACACGUAAACCAUUUUUAAAUAAAUUUUAAUAUUAAUUUAAUUUUAUCGGUAAAGUAUCGAUACUCAACAAAUAAAUUAAGAGCUUGUGGAAGCGUAGGAAUUUAAAAUUGUGACAACAACAAAAUGAAACAUGUGUGCAGGUUGUGGAACGGGCUAGGCACCUCUUAGAAGAUUGGAGAACCGCCCAAGAAGUCAGAUCACAUAAAGCUAAUGACAAUCAUGCUCAACCGAAUAGUGUUAUUCACGGUCAUGUCAUUGAGUGGACAAAGCCGGUGUAUGGUAGGUACAAAUGUAAUAUUGAUGCCUCUUUUUCUGACUCUCUGAAUAUGGUAGGUAUUGGCAUAUGUAUCUGUGAUGAUCAGGGUAAGUUUGAUAUGGCAAAGACGGACUGUUUCUCUCCUCUUUGUGAUGUUGAUGUCGGCGAGGCUGUUGGACUCCACACGGCGCUACAAUGGGUGGCUGAUCUUCACUAUGACCAUGUUGAUUUUGUUUUGGAUUCCAAGUAUGUUGUUGAACGUUUUAAUUCAAACCUAGUUGAUAGUAGUGAACUAGGUUGUAUUAUUCAGGCUUGUAGGCAGUUGUUUGAUUGUAAUUUUCAGAACUCUCAUGUCGAGUUCAAUAGGAGGCAAGCUAAUGAGGUCGCUUAUGAAUUAGUUAGGGUAGCCCCAUCUCAUACUAGCUCCCACGUUUAUGAUGAUGUACCAUCAUGUAUCCGAGAUUUGAUGGUUAAUGAAAAGCAUUGAAUUUCUUUCCUCAAAAAAUAAAAAUAAAUAAUUGGGACACCAAAAUCUAAAUAUAGGGGUUCUUAUAGGAUUUGAAUCCUCUCAUGCUCAUUCUCUUAUGAUGUCCAUCAUACCUUGAUCUCAGCCAUUUACUAACUUUUUUUUCUCUCUUCUAUAUUAUUAUUCUUUCCUUCAUGUACUCCCUCCGUCUCAUAAUAAGUGAACCUUUUGUCAAAAAAUAAUGUCCUAAAAAAACUGACAUGUUUCACUUUUCAAUACAAUAUUGAUUACUUUUUUCUAAUUAUAACUCUAAUUAAUACUACUUUCAUCACUCUUAGUUCAAUAUAUAUUCCACUUUGCAUUUAUGUGAAGAAUGCAUCAAUACUUAACAAGAGCACUUAAAAUCAUUUCUCUCUCUUCUUCAUUUAUACAUUUUUUUUUUAAUAUGUAUGAAAUCAGCAAAUGACUCACUUAGGCUAUGUUUAGUUGAUCAAAGAAAGUAGAAGGAAAGAAAGUGAAAGGAAAGAUUGUGAAAGGAAGAAAUGAGAGUAGAAAGUGAGAUGAUUUUAUUAAUUGUUUGGUAUAGGAGAAAGAGAAAGGAAAAAAAGAUAACACAUUUAAAAUAAAAAAUGUUAGAUUUGGUAAAUUACAUAACUAUCCACAUAUUAAAAUGAUAUAUAUAUAUAUAUAUAUAUAUAUAUAUAUAUAUUAUACCACAAAAAAUGUACCAAAGAAAAAAUAAUGCCAAAAAUAAGAACAUAGGAAGAGUAAGAAAAAGUUAUUAAAAUCUGACACACAAAAACGACACUCAUUUAAAAAUAAACGCUGAAAAUUAAAAAAAACAAUGAAAAUUAUAAAAGUAAUAAAAUAAGGGUAUUUGUGACUUUUCAUGUUAUAAAUGGGUUACUUGUCCACUUUCUGUCCAACCCAGCGCGGAAACAUUUUAUGUGUGGGCUCCAUCAAAGAUGUUUCUUUCCUAUGCCUUUCUUUGGUGUUCCAAACUAUAGAAACCUCUUCUUUCCACUUUCUUUUUCUCCACUCACAAUCUUUCCUCACUCUAUCAAUUGAAACAAACAAACCCUUAAUCCGGGACGGAAGGAGUAUUAAUCAACUGUUGGAUUGGAAAAGGAGAUUAACCAAUGUUCUUCAAUGCCACUUCCCCAAAAGGGCAAGCUUAACCAACCUUGGAUCUCUAAUACCAAACCAUCCUUCACUCUUAGGCUUACGGAUAUAUAACCAUCGGACCCAUGGAAUUUUUCUCUCCCCCUUCCCCCCACAAAUAGCGAUGCUGAAUCCUCACAAUGUGACUCCAAACACCAUUUGGCAUUUUCAGAAAGGAGAGGAAAAAGAUUGGAAUAGAGUUAAGUACCGAGUUUAGAAUCACUCUCCCUCCCAAACCAACUAACCUAUUAAUCCACAAGCUCAGACAAGUUAGCAACGUAUCCAACAAAGGCUGCCAAGUAGAGAGUUUCCUAGAAUUAGCCCCAACCGGAAGAGUCAUAUACUUAAAAGAAAUGAACUAGUACUAUAGUGGAGAAAAUUUGCAGCCAGACCUAAGAAAGAUGCAUCAACAUUAAUUCCCAUAAUACAACUAUUAGCGAAAUUAACACGAAGACCCUGAGGCAAGUUCAAAACACCUUAAGAUAGUGUUUUGGCCCAAAGGUUCUCCAUUGCUGUCUUUCCUAUAAAAAAAAAAGUAUCAUCAACAUAUUGAAGAUGUGUUACAGACAACCCGAAUCUACUAACUUUAAAACUUGUACAUAUACCCAACGCCUCUGCCUUCUUUACAUACAUACUUAACGCCUCUGCAACUGGAAGAAAAAAGAAAGGUGUUAGAGGAUCUCCUUGCUUAAGUCUUUGUUGACUAGUGAAAAGAUAUCAUGUUUACUAAAUUUAAGGGCAAUUUGGCCCUUCAUGAUUGUUAUCGUUUUGUGACCAAUGAAUUCUAAAACAUCGUAAAGAUCCCCACAUUAUACAAAAAGCACUCCACAACUCAAAUGACUAAGACAACGGAUUUUCAUCCAAAAUUUAAAAGCAUAAAGGGUCCGUUUGUUACAAAUUAAAAAAAAAGUGAUUUUCACAUAAAAUAAUUUAGAGAUUAUAUUUUAUAGAUUUUGUGAAAAAUCAGAAUCUAUUUUGCGUUUGUUUACCGUAAUAAAAAUCACCUUUUUUAAACAAAUAAUCUUGUUUGUUUUGAUACAACUAUAUAAAAGAAAUUUUUUGUUACAAAAUUAGUUCAAUCUUUUAAAUCAUAUUUUCUCUCUCCUCUAAAAAAAAAUCUAUUUUUUGAGAAGCUGCUCUUAACAGCUUCUCAUUUGAAGCUGUUUUUAGAUUCUAUUUUUUUUUUUUUUUUUUUUAAAUCUGUAACAAACGGAUGCAAAGCUCUUAAAAGUUAUUAUUUUCUGAAGAAAAAAAAAAGAUUUUUUUUCUUAAAAAAGCUAUAACAAACGGGCUCUAAACAUUAAAGAAUUUAGGAUCAAUUUACUCUAGGAGUAAAGUUUUGUAAGAGCUAUUCCACUUAAUAAGUUAUUAUACAUUUUUCACAAAGAAAUUUAUUGAAAAAAAUGUCUUACCGAUUAUGAUGUUAAUACCUUUUUUUUGUAAACAUAUAUACUUAAAUAUGAUCACAAUAGAAUAUAGUAAUUAGAUAUCUAUUAAAAAAUAUCGUAAACCAAAAUACAUAAUAACUAAAUUCUUAGUGAAUUUUUUUUUUUCAUUCAAAAGACAGUUCUGUAGUUUUUAACAAAUUUUUUAUUCAAUACGUAAUAAAUAUUAAUUAGGAUUGACCUCGUAAAAUAUCCUGCACAAAAAGACUAAAUAAUUGGAUAAGAAUACUAAGAAGGUGCAAACAUAUAAGUCUCAAUCUUCUUUAUUAAAAUCUAAAACCACAGCUGCCGCAGAAAGCAAUGCAGCAGCAUGCAUGGAUAAGAACAAAACAAUAAAGUCCAAUGUGCAAGUUGAGUUUCAUAUGUAUCCAAAUCCAAUGUCCCAUUAACAUCAGAAUUCAGAAGUUAGACUAAGAUUAAACUUAUAUAAAUACGAAAAAUUAUUUUCUGUAAAUAAUUGUAAUUUCUAUCAAUAUUUUUAUUUUCAUUAUGUGAUCUUUAUGUGUUAGUUCAUGUGAGGGAAAAGAGGAAAAUAUAUACCACUACAUGUUGACUCGAGUCAUGUACUUUACGUACUCAAUACUCAUAAUUUUCUCCUGUCCUUUUUUUUUUGUUGAAGAACCCCUGUCCUUCUUUUGUGUAAAAAAAAAAACAAAUAAAUAAUAAUGUUAUAAAUUAAUUUAAAUUAGUAAUAUAAUAAACUUAAGUUUUAUUUCAAAAAAAUACUUGUAGUAAUUUUUUUCUAAAUGGAAAAAGGGACUAAGCAAGCCCAAACAACACAAAGGAGAACAAAGAAAGUAAAACGAACAAAAACUAUAAGUCUCAUAGAAUGACAACAAAACUCCUACAAGGAAAAAUGGCAAAGGAGGCAAAAUCAAUAAGAUAUUUGAAGGUUUUAUACGGAACUAACACCGUCAACCAUAUUUUAGCGAAAGAGAAAUGAUAUUUGUAAAAAUAAUUUGCGACAACUUUUUCUCUUAUAUUCACAUUAUAUUUUUUUUUUUUUUUUUCUAUUGCUUUGGUUUCUAUGUCAAUAUCUACUUUUCUUUAUACUUUUAUGGUUGUCCCAAAAGUUGUCAAUCAGAUGAUUGUUGAAAUAACACACCUCUUAGCAAAAUCAUAAGCUGCUUUAUUUUGUUUUUGGCUGAAUCAAGAGAAGGACAUGCAUAGGGAGAACCUCAUACAUCUCAUGUAGGUUGACACCCCUAAAAACCCUAUCCUUUGCCACCAACCACAUAAAAUAAAUAUUAUUAAACAAAGAUAGAAAAAGUAUAUGGGAGGGGGGGAGGGGGAAGCCUGACCCUCAAAGGAAAAAUACGGUAGAAGAACAAACUAAGGAAAACGAUACAUGGGCAAACCACAACAAUUCUAAAAAUAGUCCCUCCCUAAUGAAAUCAGGUAAAACAGUCAACCACAAAGAGCCCUGAAUAGAAUGCCCAUGGUUGGCAAGCAUGUAUGCACACUCAUUGCCCACUCGAAAGGUAUGCUAAGAGUUGACCUGAAUGCCAGAGUGAAGACAAUUAUGCCAUCUGUCCCGAAGCCGAAUAGGAACAACAAUAGACGCUUUGAUGAACCUAUAAAGCUUUGACUCAAAAACCGAAACAGCUCUCAGGUUACUAGUAAAACUUCCCAAUAAAGUGUCGCAGCUGUCCCUGAAGAUUCCACCACACGCCGCAUGAAAGACAAUUAUUAAGCCAUUCAUAUUCAUUUUACCCAGGGUGUCGUAGGAGGCUUCCAAACCGCAACAACUAUCUCCUUAAAUCGACGAUAAUGAGGUGGGAUCAAGAAGGUGUCAAGAAUCAAAAAAUCAGAAUGAAGACAAUCGCUAGUUGAAUUAUGACCACUCAAAGUAAUUGAAUAUGAAAUUUUUACCUUAGCCGCAUACAACGACAUCUUAUCAGAAGAAAACAAAUUGUGCAAAGUAUGAAUAAUAGAAGUAGUAAGGAUAACUUCAAGAGACUUCUAUUGCUCAAGCACACAGGCAAGAGACUUCCAAUGCUCAAGGAAAACCCUAAGAAACUUCUGUUGAUCAAUCACGACUAAUGAGACUUUUGGUGCUCAAGGUUUCACCUGUUAUGCAUGCUUGAAUGAUUGGAGUGAUAAUAUGUAUGAUAUAUAAGUUGUGGUGAGGUAACAUCAAACUAAAUAAAAUCCUUCAAAAUAGUAUAUUAAGUUUAAUGUUUUCCAAAAGGAUAACACCCUUCUAGACCAAUAUCAAAUGUGUCUGUUUGCCUCCGUGAAGCACACGUUCUAUACUAGUAAGUUGCGGUGUGGUAAUUUCAUUUACCAGAUUGUUAUUCUUUUGGGUAAUUUCAUAUAUAUGCUAAUAAAGUGGGGGGAAAAUGGAUGUACAUGUUUUACAAUUUUUUUUGACUUAUUAGCCUUUUAAAAAAUAUAUAUUUAUUAGCCUUUAUAAAUACGUCAAAUGUUAUAUUUAAAAUUGUUAGUACAAAUUAGGCUUUUAGACAGGCUAAUAGGACAGGCCGGGGUUUUAUAAAGGCCAGGUCAAGCUUAAAAUAAAGCCUUUGAAAGGCUAAUAGGCCAGACUUAAGCUUAAGUUUUUUCAACUAGAAUACUAUGUAUGAAGAUCUAGUGAAAGGUCAACCAGAAGUUAACAUCCUAGUGGACAGGUGUCUCACAGAAGCUGGGGAAUCCACAGAUUCUGUGAAGGACAUCAACACAAAAGCUGACUAGGCUACGUCGUUCUAAGGGACCCAGAAUCGGCGUAAGGUUUUGUCUUAUUAUGUGAGUUGUGUCUAUCACUACAUCUGGCAGAGCGGCUAUUUUGUAUUCUCAUGUCUACUUGUAAAGGAAAUCAUGAAUGAGAACGAAUAAUUCCCCUUUCAACAAAGGAAAUUCAAAGUAAUUUCCAACGGGAUUGAAGCUUCUCAACGACUCUAUUUGCGUUGGGACUCUUCUCUAACAUCUCUCAAAUCACUGUCUGUAUAAGGAGCUAAAGACCCGAAGAAGAAGUAAUAAGACUCUGCUAUUCAAUUGUGCCAUUACUUUGUCAAAUUUAAUAGCGCAAAAUCAAUUAGGAUUAAUUUUCAAGUUUAUUCUUAGAAAUCCUAGGGAGUUUGUUAAUUUGUUCAGUUUACGCUUACUAGCUAGAAAAAAUGUAAGAAAAAAUUAACGUUAUUCCAGUUGGGGCAAACACUUUAAAAAAUCUCUCGUAUGCGUGCUUGAGCAUAUAAGUCUCUUGGUGAAACAUUGAGCACUUAGGAGUCACAAUCAAGGGCUAUUGAGCAAAGGGAAGUAUCAAGCAGUUGUGAUUAAGCAAUGAGAAGUCUUUAGGUAGAGUCCUAGAGCAUAAGUCUUUAGGUAGAGAGUCCUAGAGCAUAAAAGUCUCUUGCAGUUGUUCUUGAUCAAAUAGAAGUCUCUUAAAGUUGUGCUUGAGCAUAGGGAAGUCUCUUAGAAGUGUCCUUGAGCAAUUUGUAAUCAUAUGUGAUUAUAAUUAAAUCCCUUGGAAGCGCAAGGGGACUGGACUACUCCUGCAUUGUAGGAGGAACCGGUAUAAAAUUGUUGUGUCUGCUUUAUUUAUCUCUAUCUCUUUAUCUUUUUGUUUUGUAUCUAUCUGCUGCACACAGACUCUGAAUCAAAAUCUGUAUAUCUUAGAUUUUUUUCAGGCUGUUUAACCUAGGAAAAAGAAACCCAUGAAAAAUCUUACUCAAUUCGACCCCCUUCUUGUGUAUUUUUCUCACCUUCAACCUUGUCCUCCACAACUCCAUAUGGAUGUUUAAUUGACCUAUCUGCAAGUGUUAUAUAUAGUGGUGUUUGAUAGCUUCAUCUGAACACUUCCAACCUUCUUUAGCAUCGUUAAUGACAUCAAUUUGAUGCUUGUACCUAGAUCACACAUACCUCUUUUGAUGGAUAACUUCCAAAUGGAUCAGUUAAAACAUUCCGACUCAUUCUUUUUUGGAGGUAGAUUCUUUUUCCUUUAACUUCUUCUUCAAAUAGAGGUAUGGUAUUCUUGCUUCCUUGCAGGAUCUUCUAUCUCUCUUUCCCUAUUAUGGAAUCUUUGUCAAUGCAUGUUUUAGACAUUCUGGCAUGCGCCUUUUCUCCUGGAUUUAUGUCUACUGAAACUUUCCUCUUUUGUGGAAGCUUCUUUUGGAGAACUAACUGGCGACCGAUAGUUUUUCCUCUUUCGAACACAUGAUAAGACUUCUUUUCUUUCAUUCCCUUAUAAAUUAAUUAUCUUGUUUCCACAUUGAUCAUGGGUUUAGCGGUUGCAAGAAAAGAUCUUUCAAGGAUAGGUGGACAUUUUCGAUCUUCUUGCAUAUCCAAGAUUACAAAAUCUGUCAAAAAGAUAACUUAGUUUACUUUUACCAUCAAGAAUUCUACUAUGCCAUAAGGAAAUUUGAUUGUACCAUCUGCCAAGGUGAGAUUUAUGUUUGGUGGUUUCAUCUUCACCUUUUUUCAGUUUUUUGAAAAUUGAUUACGACAUCAGGUUUACACUUUCUCUGAGAUCACAUAAAUCAUAUUUGAUUUUUAUGUCCUUAAUUCAACAAGGAAUGGUGAAAUUACCAGGGUCAUUCAUUUUCUUUGGCAGCAACAAUUGAACUACAAGUUUCAGCUAACAUAAUUACCUUUUAAAUUGAGCUUUUAUCUAGCAUUUCUAGGUGAGGUGUGAAAAUUUUGAACAAUUGUUCUACCAUUUCUUCUAGUUCAUCCAUGUCUUCUUCUUCUUAAUUUGGGUUUCCCCAAGGUGUAGGAUAUGGUGUAUCCCAUCCUUGUUCGUAAGGAUUAUUGAACUGAUUGAAAUGGUUAACAAAUGGUUUCCUUGUGUAAUUUAUCUGCAUGAGUUGUUAGCACAAACUAGAGGUAACACAAAUUUGUGUUUCAUAUGAAUUAGAGAUUUUUUUGUUUGUUUAGGGUAUUAAAAAAAUUGACUAAAAUUUAAACAAAAUAAUCUAAACUAGAUACUACCCUAGAAUAAAACAGACUAAAUUUUUUUGGUAUUUUUGGAAUAAGAUAAAAACAAACUAAAUCUAUUCUAACCUAAAAACAAGGGGAAAAAACUAACAUAAUCCAUAAAUAUUUAAAAUUAAUCCUAAUCUAAAAAGAUAUACCUAGCUAUUAAAUAGGAGUUAGCCUUAAUUUGUAGGAUCUACCUAGCUAUUAAAUAGGAGUUAGCCUUAAUUUGUAGGAUCUAACCCUAAAACUAAAACAGAAAAAUAAUCUAACCAUAAUAACAAAAUAAAAUCGAAAAUAAAAAUAACAAAAGUGAAAAUAAUAAAAACUGAAAAAUGAAAAGCAGAAAAUAAAUUUACCUAACCUAACCUAAUUACUCACAAAAAUAAAUUCUACCGAUUACCUUGUCGUAAUAUCAACAAUCCCCGACAAUGACGCCAAAAACAUGAUGGAAAAUUUAGGAAAGUAUACAAAAUCAUACCAAGUAAUAAAGUAGUAAGUUAAUCGUUUCCACAGGGAUUGUCAUUCAAAUCAGUAAGUAGAAGAGCCUAUUUAGAAAUGCAAAUAAAAGAGAAGAUUUAAAGUUGAUGCAGGGUUUAAAUUGUCCUGCCCAAUGCAAGAUUAGGUUUGGUUGAUUCAGAAGAUUAACAACGAUUAGGGAAUCCUUGAAUCCCAUCUUCAUCUUUGUUGGAAAUUAAAUUUUGAAAUCAUUCGUUUAUAACUUGUCUUAUGUUGGAUUUAAGAAAGUAGAACAUAACCUUGUCAUGAAUCAGUUGAAGUUUAUUUUAAUCCUUGCAAUUCAACUAUUCAAAUUGUGAAGUUCCAUUAAGAUUAGUUAUAGCCCUAAAUUCAUACUUAGAUUCUAUUAUAUUAGAAAUUAAACAAUUCGCUACUUCCUUGUUCAAAUGGAGACGAGGGUUGUCAAUCCUAAUAUUAAUGCAUCUAAGAUAUCGUAUAGAAACGGACAUAUACAAAUUAUGGUGUGAUUUACAUAGGUUUGUCUUGGUGAGAAAGUAAGAAAAUAGCCGUUAGGAACUAUCCAUUUUUUCCUUUAGUGCCUUACCUUGAUGACAAAGUAACUCUUGAAACUAGUGUUUAUUCCUUGUACUUUGCUUUGCUGCUUCUGAUAUGUGAUUCUGGUCUUUUGUUGCACAUUUUAGGUUGGUUUCUUCCAUUAAUUCAGUUGGUGUUUUCUAAAUGUCUGUUUCUUAUGUCGUUCUAAUAUGCUUUUAAUCUUGAAAUUGUGAUCUACCUUAUUUGCAACCUAAAGUAUAGUUUAUUUAUUUCCCUUUCUUCAUAAAGCUUCAUCUUGACUUAUGAAAUGAGAAUCAAUGUUGAACACCAAUUUUAAACUUUCUAUAUAGCUAUUAUGAGGUGCUUCUGAACUGCAAUUAUGUUCGUACGAUGUGCAUUCUAAAGUGCUUCUGGUAUCUAUUUUGAAUUUCAUUUUUAUUGAAUAAUUAUGUUCCUCCGAAUGACAUGGAUCAAAAUUUGAUAUCAUAUUCCCUUCAUCAGUCUGGCUCUUCAAUUUUGUAGUGCCCAUGAGAUGCUUCUAAUCUUAUUAUGAAGUUUUCUAAUCAUUUUGAAGUCUUUCUUAGCAUUUGGUAUUAUUGAGAUUCAUGUUUAAUUUGAUAUCUACGCAUUUGUAAUAUCUUUUUCUAACAAACACUUGAAGAAACUUUUUAGAGAACAACACAUAUCAGAAUCACUCUGAUCUCAUUACUUUAACGAAGUUUGUUAUCUUUAAACAUCAACUUAAGAAGUAUUUUGUGAUAUUUUGUGUGAUGUCUUAGUGGAGAGCUGAUUGUAUCCGAAUCAUUUAAUUUAUAGAUCAUGCAUAAUAUUGUAUAAAAAAAUUGGGACAAAAAAAAUGAUGAUUAUGAUGUUUUUCUUUCUUUUUCGACUUUUAUAUCUUCAAGAUUUAUUUUAUAACAUUGUGCGUAUGUUGAUUUUAUUUGUAUUGUUUUGGUUAAUGGAAGUUGACAUGUUACACCGAUAUUUUAGAUACCAAAGAAGAAUUUCAAGAUUGAUGUUGUUUGGCAAGGUCUAUGGGGAAAAUAAAGUUUUGCAAAUAAAAAAUCAUUUAUAAUAAAAUCAAUCGUGCUAUUUAUUUUAUGGAGAAUGCUAACCAUUGUCCUUAGGGCAUUGGAUAAGGGGUAAAAAUAGAAAUAUAGCAUUGGAAAAUGGUGAAAAGUGAUAAAUUUAACUUUUUAAAAGUCAAAAUGUUGUUGAAACCAAUGCAAACAUGCUACUUUUAGCUUCCUUAACCAUUACCCACAGAGCAAUAUGGUUAGCAAGACCCUUAUUUUAUUUCUAUUAGUUAACUUCGGAUGUUGUUUACAUGUGAGG